rnacentral:lncRNA from 1 species
GUUAAGCGAAGAAGACUGAUUCGGCUAUGGAUAGCUGAGGGAUUUGUAACAGAGGAGAGAGGCAAGACUCUUGAAGAGGUGGGGGAAGAGUACCUGAAUGAGCUUAUUGGUAGGAGUCUCAUAAAGGCAAAUGAAAUGGACUUUGAUGAAAGACCAAUAACUGUUGGAGUCCAUAGUCUCAUGCAUAGGAUAAUUCUCUCGGUUUCACAAGUGGAGAACUUUUGUACUGUUUGUGCAGGACCAGAAGGAAACUUGGCUGACAAACCCCGACGCCUAUCCAUCCAGACGGGAAACUUUGAUGUGUCUCAGGACUUAACCUGUGUUCGAACUUUUUUCAGUUUCAGUACAGGUAGGGUAAACAUUGGUUCGAAUUUCAAACUAUUGAAGGUUUUGGACAUACAAAGCACUCCUUUGGAAAACUUUCCAAGUGCCAUUACAGAUCUUCUGCUCUUGAGGUACUUGAGUUUGAGGAAUACAAAUAUAAGGAGCAUCCCCAAAUCCCUCAGGAACCUACGGCACCUUGAGACCUUGGAUCUUAAGCAAACUCUGGUAAAAGAGCUACCCAAAGCAGUCCUACAACUUGAUAAACUUCGCCACUUGCUGGUUUAUGCCUACAAUAUGGGAAGUGUUGUAGAGUUUGAUGCCGUUCAAGGGUUCACUGUACCGAGAAAGAUCGGAGCAAUGAAGAAUCUGCAAAAGCUAUCAUUUGUAAAGGCGAAAAGGCAUAACAGAAUGAUACAGGAGCUCAAAAAUCUGACAAAGCUGAGGAAGCUGGGCAUUGUAGAACUAGCAAAAGAAGAUGGCAAUAGCUUGUGCCACUCAAUUGAGAAGAUGCCGGAUCUCCUUUCCUUGGAUGUUACCUCCCUUAGUAAGGGGGAGCCUUUGGAGCUUGAUGCAAUGACCAAUCCCCCGCGUCUUCUUCAACGCCUGUAUCUCAAAGGGCACUUGCAAAGGUUUCCAAAGUGGGUAUCUUCUCUACAUGACCUGGUGAGAAUACGCCUAAAAUGGUCCUUAUUGUCACAAGACAACCCAAUUGAAGCUCUUCAAGAUCUUCCAAACUUGAUGGAGCUGCAGUUACUUGAUGCAUACACUGGAACCCAGUUGGACUUCAACUCGGGAAAAUUUCAGAAGCUUAAGAUAUUAGACCUUGAGCAAUUGAAACAGCUGAGGUUUAUCAUAAUGGAAGAUGACACAUUGCCUUGCCUACAAAAGCUGAUCAUAAGGCAAUGCAAUGAGCUGGAACAUGUCCCCGUAGGCAUUGACGGGCUUCAUCAUCUCAAUGAGCUGCACCUCUGCGAUAUGCCUGAGAAAUUCGUGGCACUGCUGAAGAAAAGAGGCGGUGAACUUCGCCAUUUGCUUCACCGUAUUUUGCGUAUUCUCUCAUAUCAACAGGGCCAGUUGGUGGAAGAUCUUUCAUGACCAUAAAUGCUACAUCUGUGACAUGCACCAGUGGAACAAGAAUCAAGGUUUGUAUAACUACAUGGAUUCAUCGCUUGCUUCUUUUGGAUUCCUCAAAAUGCAUUGUCGUCAAUUCCUUUACUAGCAAUAUUACUGCAUGUUCCUAGGAAAUCAUGGUGGGAUAUCUAGCAUUUAUACAUAUCAAACAUCGAAUAUCUGUGGAGUCAUAUUUGAAACUGCCAUUGUUGAAACUACGCCGAGACUCGGUACAAGACAGUCGGAUUAUGGUUAGGUGUCAAGCCCCUGAGCCUUCCAAUUGAUUUUUAUUAUUCUUGUAUUGAUAAUAGUAUGAAGUUAGAAUCAAUUUUAUUAUAUUUCGCUUAAAACGUCGGAAUCAGUUUCACAUUAAGCUUGUAGGAUAGCGAACAAAUUGAAUAUCAAUUUACUAUAAAAAUCUUCUCUUUUUUUUUUUCAAUUUUUUUAUUUAUUUUAUACUUGUGUCUGGUUUGGUUAACAAAUAAUGACAUUAUGCCCACUUGUGAAUUUUUAAUAUUAUGUUUUUAUGAUUAUUUUAGAUGAUAUUAAAUAUAAUAGUGAUUUGCUUUAAUUGUUGGUUUGUUGAAUGCAUUCUUAUCCAAUUGUUUUUAUUUAUUUUCUCUAAAAUUUUUAUUACUUUAAAAUUGUUCUAUACUUUUUAAUUAAUUAAGCAGUUUAUUCUGCAUAUAGUCUGGUUUAAUCGAAUAAAAUACGAUGACGAAGUCCUCUAAGAAUCUUCUAUAAAAGUCAACUCUGCCCAAUCAAUUCUUUCACAGGGGAACAAUGGUUUAUUAAUGUGCAACUAGCGUUUUUAUAAAUAAAAUAUUCUUAAUUUCCUCUAAAUAUCAGAUUAGUGUUAGACAAAACCAAUAAUAAUAUUUUUAUUGGGAUUUUUCAAUGGCAUUAUAAAGUCACCAAUCAAUUAAUAAAAAAUGGUCAUUGAAGUCACCGUGAUUUAUUGAUUUAUUUAUUUUUACCUGGACAAUGAUCUUAAUUAUUGUUUUUUCUGUAUUAUUUAAGUAUCAAGUUUUUAACAAAAGAAACCCAAGGUUAUGGAUGGGCAUUUCUCAAUACUAGAGGUACUAGUUUUUUUAGGGAAAAAUAGGUAUAAAAAAAAUUUAAUAUUUGCUAAAUUUUGGAAAAGUUGAAUAAUAUUGAGAUUAGUACCUUGAAAAGUUAAAAUUAUUCAAACACAAAAUAAAGAAUAAAAAGUAUAUUAAUAAUUUGUUUAGUAAAUUUUAACAUUUCUUUUACUUGAAAUUUUUUUAAAAAAAAAUUCUAUAUAGGGCAUAUAAUUAGGAUUAGGUUUAUUAAUAAAUGAAAUGUUUUUCUUAGCUGACAAUGCAAUCAUGUUGACCCAUAAAUUUGCAUUAGAUUUAUGAGAAAACUUUGAAUUUCUUUAUUUUCUUUUACAUGGCACAAAGGUUUAUAUAGAUUGUCUUGAAGUAGCAGUAAAGUGAUCCUUUAAGUACCACAAAUACUUGUGAUUUGGAAAUAAUCAAAGUCUUCCCAAUUGGGACGACCCUAGGUUCCAAUACAUUAGCAUUGAUUUCUUUGAGUUGUAUAUGAUGCUUCUUUUCAUGUUAUUUACGACAUUGACUACUAGAAUCUCUUGCAGAUGCAAGUGGCAUUCAUUAAAAGUUAAGACCACUGCUUUCAAGGGUCCUAUGUCCAGCUUCCGAGCAACAACAAUACGAGAAUGGGAAUGGUAAUGGGGUGGAAUUUUCUUGAUGGGACAAAUUUGGGAUAAAUAUGAAUGAGUUCAACCAACAAAUUUGAGAUUUUUUGUUUUUUUUUUGAACCCAAAGUGGGUUUGGGUAUGAUGUUGUCCCAUCCCAUAUGUAAUAUUAAAUAAAAAUGAUUUUAAUACAUUUUUGACUUUUUUUAACAUAUAUCAAAUAUUUUUUUUUAUAAAGAUAAAUUAUACAUAUUUAUAAUAUUUAUUUAUUUGUAAAUUAUAUUUAUUUUUAAUACAAUUUAAAAGUAAAAAAAUUAAGAAAAAAUAAAAAAUAGACAGACAAGGUGAAUAUGAGAAUUUUCCUACAUCUGUUCUACCUAUUUAUUUAUUUUUUUCAUGAAAAUGAGAAUAAAUAUAAAUAAAUUGGACGAUAUUAAAAUAUGGGUGACCAUCUCAAACUUGCCCGUUACCAACCAUAACCGAGAAGAUUGGGUCAAUGUGGAUUUUUAAGCUCCUUUUUUGGUUUGGGUUUGCAAAAAAAGACCCAACCAUUUAUUCGUUUGGCCAUAUGAAGUUGAUGAAUGCAACACCUUAACUCGGAACAUGACAUCCAUCAAACUUAGGCAAUCUCUCGCGUAAAUUUUAAGAAAUCACAAUAACUAGGAAUUUUCAACUAUGAAAUUUCCAAAAGAUAGCAUCAUUUUACAUUGUUCUAAGGCCAGUGCCAAAGGGUUCAUGUAGAAUUUUCAAAAUGUUUUUGUCCUGAGAAAAUACAUUUUGGAUAUGUUUCGUACCCAGUAAAUUCCAGGAUGCACAUAAUGGAAAUAAAAUUGAAAAAAAGAAAAAAAAAAGUAAAGAAAAAUAAAAUAUAGAUUUAAGAUCAAUAAAUUAUGUUAUAUAUUUCUUCAAACUAAUUUCACUUAUUUUCCUUAUUAUCUAAAGAUUAAAUAAUUUUAAAAUACAUAAAUCUUUUAUUAACUUUCAUUAUAUUUGAUUUUUUUUUAUAUUUUUUAUAAUAAAAUUAAACAUGAGAAAAUUAGUUUUAUUAACAUUUUUUUUUCUUUUACUUUCCUAGAACCGAACAUAGUACUAAGAAGCUAUAGCUAGAAAUGCCAUGAUACCAUUUUCUUGAAAACUUCCAUAUAAUUAAUAUGUACAUGUAGAUUACCUACAAUUUUCAAAUAGACAAGUACUUGUGUGUUUCAGUUUCCAAAACUUUUAUUAGGAACUCAACUUAAGACUUUACUGAAUUCAUGGGAUUGUCAGAUUUAGUAUAGGAAGAAAUUUUCCAUUGUUGACUAUAAUCUAUAUAUGGUGACCAUGUGACAUUAAUAUAUUUAUUUAGAUAUAUAAAAAAAUAUUUGAUUAAAAGACUUAAAAUACUCUUUGUAAAACCAAGGUUUGGUUAAUCUUGAUUUUGAUGAUAAAAAUAAAAAAUAAAAUUAGAAUUCAUGAUUAUAUUUCAACUGUCACUAGACAAGAUGAUUUCUAGAGUGACAAUCACAAAAAUAAAAUUAAGUCAAAGAGAAAUCAAUAAAAAGAAGAAAACCUCAAAAAGAAAUGUUUUUCAAGACCUAAGCUCCAUAGGAUAUCUUUGUAAGGUUGUUGGUGCACCAAGUUUUUCAUGCAUUACAUUCUUUACUUAUGCACCAAAAUCAUUUAAGAAUUAUUUUGUUUUAAAUAUUUUAAAAUAAGAUGAUUUCAUGUUUUCAACUAAAACUUUGUGUCAAAUACUUUCCAAACUUGUUUAAAAUAGUUUUAAGUUAAAAAGAUGGUUAUUGAACCAAAAACGACUCAAUUGGUUGAGAAAUUUGCUCAAUCGGUUGAACAUAUUGAGGAACCAAUCAACCUGUUCAACUUAACUGGUUGAAGGGUGUAAAAAAACUCUUUCUCUUCCAGAACACUUAUUCGAUCGAUCGAUCGAGGUUGGACCUCAUCCGAUUGACCAAUUCAGCUCAAUCAGUUGAAAGGUGUAAAAAUCUUCUUUCUAUUCCAAAAUACUUCUUUGACUAGUUGAGGUUGGACUUCAUCUGGUCAAGUACUAGUUGAGGAGCGGUUGAGGUUCAACAGUCACCUGUCAUGCAUUAAAUGUUAAUGGCUAGUGAACCAGUCGAAUUGGAGCUCGAUCGGAUGAACUCGCAAUGACUAGUUAGACUUAUCUCCUCUAUAAAAAGGUUCCAAUCUUUAUUGUUUCAAGAGUUUAAUCUUCGUAACCCUUUCUUGAAUAUAUUUGAGCAUUGAAAGUGUGUUUUUUAGUGCACCAUUGUUCUAAAACUUGCAAUCAUUAAUGCACCAGUCAAUCCUAAUUUAUCUUGUAUCAUUUGAACCUAAAGUUUUGUACUAGAUUUUGUGAGAUUAUUUCUUAUCUUCAUUUGUAAAUCUUUGAGAGAAAUAAUCUAAGUGUGAGGUAUCAUUUAGGGAUAUUUAAGUGUGGGGUAUCACUUAGAAAUUCUUAAGUUUGGGGUAUUAUUUGAGGGAUUGUUCAAAAGUGAUCUAUCUCUUAAGGAUUUUAAAGGAUGAACCUAAAGUUCUGUACUAUAUUUUGUGAGAUUAUUUCUUAUCUUUAUUUGUAAAUCUUUGAGAGGAAAAAUCUAAGUGUGAGGUAUCAUUCAGGGAUAUUUAAGUGUGGGGUAUCACUUAGAGAUUCUUAAGUGUGAGAUAUCACUUAAGGGGUUGUUCAAAAGUGAUGCAUCUCUUAAGGAUUGUAAAGGAUGCUUAGAGCCAAAAGUUCAAGAGGGUGAAUUGGAACCAUAAUCCAAUUAUAUUGCUUGAAUGCUUGGUUUGAAAGCCUUGAAUUAGUAGAAUUUCAAACUUGUGAUUGAAACUGGAGGAGAGUGGACAGAGGCUAGGUUGCGUUGAACCAUUAUAAAAAUCUUGUAUUUGCAUUCUCUCUUAUAUUCUCUUUUAAUUUAUAUGCAAUUGUUUUUAUAUUAUUUAUUAUAUAAAUUACAUAUAAUUAUCUCUUAAAUUUACAUAAUUUAAAUUUACAAAAAGAGACCAUCACCCUAUUCACCAUUUUUAGAGUGGUUACCUUAGGUUGGAUUAACUUUUUUUUUUUUUUUAAUACUUUUGAAAUUGGAAAAAUGACGUUCUUUACUCAUUCCUUGAAAAAUAAAAAAAUGAUUCAUUUUGGAUGUUAUUCUUCUUUUUUAUUUUCUUAAAAAUGCCAUUUUCUUCUAUUUCCUAAUUUAUUUAUUUAGUUUUCACAUUUAGGAUACCAAGCUCUCUUUCUCCCUCUAAGUUUAUGCUUUCCAAUUUUUCAUUGAAUUUUUUUAGUGAAGUUCAAAUCCUUAACAAAGAUUAAUGGAUAAUGAUCGGUUGUAGUCCUCUCAUCUUUCUUUUUUCUUCAAGAUUCUUUAUAUUUUCCAUUUUCUCUUUAUUUCUUGUUGGAAUUUUUUAUUAGAGGGUUUUUUUUGAAAUUGUUAUUUUUAAAAUUUUUUGUAGUUGUUUUUUUGCAGGUUUUUUUUUCUUUUUGGUUAACGGUUUUUUGUUGAGGGUUUUUUAUUAGGGCUUCUUACAAUUUCAUUUACACUUCUACAUUGUUUUUGCUUAGGGUUUCUUGGUAGUUAUUUUCUAUUGAAAUUUUGGUUGGGGUCCGUUGCCAUUGUUUUUCAUUAGAGUUUUUUUUAUAGUUGUUUUAUCGAGUUUUAUUUUUUAUUUAUUUUUUUGCAUUUUCACUAAGUCUUAUAAUAAUACCCUCUAUUUUGUCCUUUUGGCACAUGAUACUCAAGUUAGCCAUCAUUCAUCCUUUAUUACUUGUUUGUGCACUUCACGGUCUUUUUUCAAGCUAUUUUUGAGCUCUCAUUGAUGGUCUACUGUGACUAUGUUUAUCACUAGUUUUUUGUAUUUUCUAUAAGAAACAUUUUGGAGGGAUUAGGUGGACCUUAACCUUGAUUUUAGUGACCAUUAAUUCUUAGUUUGUGAUUUUGUUUUUGGUUAAUUUAUAAUAUAUUUAGGCUUUUUUAAAACCUUUAAUGUCACUAGAUAAAUUCAUAAUUUGGAUUGACUAAUAAUAGAUUUCAUUUUUAAAAAAAAAUGUAUAAUGAAGGUCAACAUUGAAUUAAGAAAAAGUUUUUAUUUAUUUAUGAAUUUGAUUUAAUUUGAUCUAAUUAUUUUUGUUUGCAUUUUUUAUUUUUUAUUUUUAUAAAUUAUAGAACUUUAGAUAUCAAUCGUGAUUAUGAAAUAGGUAAAUUGAAAAUUGAUAUAUUAUGGCCACUGAACAUAGGCCCUAAGAUUUUUCAUGCUAUAAUAAUAUUUCUUUUAAUAUCUCAUAAAUCGUAAAUUAAAAUGAAAAUAAAAUUAAGAUUGGAGUUUAUUGAAGACAUCAAAUUCAUGCUUUAAAAUAUAUAUUAAAAUGGGUCGUUUCUUUUAAUAAUAAUCAUACUAAAACAUUUUUUUUUUUUUUUUGCUUUAAUGUCUUACAAGCCACCAACGGCCAACCAGCUGUACCCAACCUUACCAACCGUGAGCCUAGCCUUUUUCAACCUAUAAAACCUAGCCCUUUGUAGCAUUGGGCCAAAAUGACCCAUGUAUUAAAAAAAAAAAAUUAGAUGUAACCAUUUUAUGAAAUUUAUAUUCAAACUAACAUCUUUGAUGCCACGAGGACUCAUGUCAUAAAAAUAUUUUUUUUUUCAAAAUUUUAAUUAAAACCUCAAUUGGUAAUUGAGGUUUCAUUUUUGAACUGAAGUCGCAAUUACUAACUGAGACUUCAGUUAUUGAACUAAAGUCACAAUUGUCAAUUGAGGUUUUAGUUAAAAAAUAAAGUUUCAAUUGACAAUUGAACUAAAGCCUCAAUUGACAACUAAAACUUCAUUUUUUUUAACUAAAACCUCAAUUGUCAACUAAGCCUUAGUUAAUUUUUUUUAACUUUAAAAUUUAGUUAAAAAUUAUUAAAUUAUAGUUUAUUAUUAAAAUUAGAAAUAUAUAUUUUAAUAAUAAAUUAUUUAUAUUUAAGCUUAAAAAUCUAAUAUUACUUCAACAAAUAUAAAUUGAUAGAUAAAAGAUAUUAUAAAUGAAUAUUUUAUUUAUUAAUAAAUUAAUAAUAUUAAAAUAAUAAAUUUAUAUAACAUAUAAAUAAGAUAUAAAAUUGUAUAAUUUAUUAAUUUAAGAUUUUUUUUUAAAGAUAUUAAUGUAUUUGUAUUAUGUUAAAUUUAUCCAUAUGUUCUCUCAUUAUGAAAGCAUAUGAGGUCAUAUAUGUUUUUUUUUUUUCAGCAUAUAAAUGUUUAAUGGGUAUUUUUUGUGACUUUGAUAAAACAACUAAAAAUUAUAUUUUGUAGUAGACUUUUUUUAACUAAUUUUGUCAAAAAAUCUAUAUAUAAAAAUUUAAGAGUAUACUGUUAUUUCAAUAAAGAUAAAUUUCUUAUAAUACAAAUAAAUCAAUGUCUUAAAAAACAACAAAUUAAAUAUCUUAAAUUAAUAAAUUAUAAAAUUUUAUAUCUUAUUUGUAUGUCAUAUAAUUUUAUUAUUUUAAAAUUAUUAAUUUAUUGAUAAAUAAAAUAUUUAUUUAUUGUAUUAUAUUUAUCAAUUUAUGUUUAUUGAAGUAAUACUAGAUUUUUAAGUUUAAAUAUAAAUAAUUUAUUAUUAAAUUAUAUAUUUUUAAUUUCAAUAAUAAGUUAUAAUUUAAUAGUUUUUAAUUAAAUUUAAAAGUUAAAAAAAAAUAUUAACUGAAGCCUCAAUUGGCAAAUACACCUUAGAAGUAUACUAUUAUUUAGAUAAAAAUAAAUUUGUCAUAAUACAAAUAAAUUAAUAUCUUAAAAAAUAACAAAUUAAAUAUCUUAAAUUAAUAAAUUAUACAAUUUUAUACCUUAUUUAUAUGUUAUAUAUAUAAAUUUAUUAUUUUAAAAUUAUUAAUAAAUAAAAUAUUCAUUUAUAAUAUCUUCUAUUUAUUAAUUUAUGUUUGUUGAAGUAAUAUUAGAUUCUUAAGUUUAAAUAUAAAUAAUUUAUUAUUAAAUUAUAGAUUUUUAAUUUCAAUAAUAAAUUAUAAUUUAGUAGUUUUUAAUUAAAUUUAAAGUAAAAAAAAAAUUAAAUGAAACCUGAAUUGGUAAUUGAAGUUUUAGUUCAAAAAUGAAGUUUCAGUUACCAAUUGAGAUUUCAGUUAAAAAUAAAGUUUCAAAUUGCGGUUUUAGUUCAAAAACUAAAGCCUCAAUUGAUAAUUACGGUUUUAGUUUAAAAAAGAAAUCUCCUCAAUUAUCAAUCUAGGUUUUUAUUAAAAGUUAAAAAAUAUAUAUAUUUAUAUGACAUGAAACUAAAGAUGCUAGUUCGAAUAUAAGCUGGAUAAAGUGGUUAGAUGUAAUAUAUUUUUUUUAAUAAAUGGGACAUUUUGACCCAAAACUCUUGAGCUGCAACCAGCCAUACCAAAGACACCCUGCACUAGCCGUCCGUAAUCCUCUACUGCAGCUUCGUUUUAGCUGCCCGAGGCGUCUCAAAUCAGCCCCAUCAAGUUGUCCACUCUCCCUGCUAUGAGCUUGGAAAUAAUCCAAGUCUUCCCAACCGGGAAGACUCUAGCUAGCUUCCAAUACGAAGACUCUAGCUAGCUUCCAAUACAUCAAUACUGAUUUUCUUGAGCUGCAUGUGAUGGUUCUUUUCAUAUUAUUAAUUAACGCCAUUGACUGGUCAUCUUCCCUGACAAUUCAUCAGUUAAAAUCACUGGUUUCAAGGGUACACCCAGCCACCAAUGCAAUAGCAAUACGGAGAAGACUGGGUCCAUGUGAGUAAUUGAUAGGCUUUUUUUUUUUUUUUGGUUUUGGUACGCAGAAAAAGAGGAGUUUUGGGUCAAAAUGCCGUAUAUUAAAAAAAAAAAAUAUUACAUCUAAUUAUUUUAUGAAACUUAUGUUCAAAUGCUUUGUAGGAAUCAUGUCAUAAAUUUUUUUUUUUUUAAAUUUUAGUAAAAGUCUCAAUUAAUAAUUAGGGUUUCAAUUUUGAAUUGAAAUUGUAAUUGUCAGUUGAGGCUUUGGUUUUUGAACUAAAGCUAUAGUUGUUAACUGAGACUUCAUUUUUUAACUGAAACCUCACUUGACAAAUACUUUAUUUUUAAACUAAAGCCUUAAUUGACAAUUAAGACUUUUUAUUUUAUUUUAAAAUUUAGGUAAAAGCUAUUAAAUUAUAGUUUAUUAUUGAAAUUAGAAAUAUAUAUUUUAAUAAUAAAUUAUUUAUAUUUAAGCUUAAGAAUCUAGCAUUAUUUUAAUAAACAUAAAUUGAUAGAUAGAAGAUAUUAUAAAUGAAUAUUUUAUUUAUUAAUAAAUUAAUAAUAUUAAAAUAAUAAAUUUAUAUAACAUAUAAAUAAGAUAUAAAAUUGUAUAAUUUAUUAAUUUAAGAUAUUAAUUUGUUGUUUUUUUAAAGAUAUUAAUUUAUUUGUAUUAUGUCAAAUUUAUUCAUAGGUUCUCUCCUUGUGGAGGCAUAUUAUGUUAUAUAUGUUUUUUUUUUAGCAUAUAAAUGUUUAGUGAAUAUUUUUUAUGACUUUGAAAAAACUACUAAAAAUCAUAUUUUUUAGUAGACUUUUUCUAACUAAUUUUGUCAAAAAGUCUAUAUAUAGAAACUUAAGAGUAUACUAUUAUUUCAAUAAAGAUAAAUUUUUCAUAAUACAAAUAAAUUAUUAUCUUAAAAAACAACAAAUUAAAUAUCUUAAAUUAAUAAAUUUUAAAAUUUUAUAUCUUAUUUGUAUGUCAUAUAAAUUUAUCAUUUUAAGAUUAUUAAUUUAUUGGUAAAUAAAAUAUUCAUUUAUUGUAUUGUAUUUAUCAAUUUAUGUUUAUUGAAAUAAUACUAGAUUUUUAAGUUUAAAUAUAAAUAAUUUAUUAUUAAAAUAUAUAUUUUUAAUUUCAAUAAUAAGUUGUAAUUUAAUAGUUUUUAAUUAAAUUUGAAAGUAAAAAAAAAGCCUCAGUUAACAACUACGGCUUAGGAGUAUACUAUUAUUUCGAUAAAGAUAAAUUUAUCAUAAUACAAAUAAAUUAAUACCUUAAAAAAUAACAAAUUAAAUAUCUUAAAUUAAUAAAUUAUAUAAUUUUAUAUAUUAUUUAUGUGUUAUAUAAAUUUAUUAUUUUAAAAUUAUUAAUUUAUUAAUAAAUAAAAUAUUUAUUUAUAAUAUCUUUUAUUUAUCAAUUUAUGUUUGUUGAAGUAAUACUAGAUUCUUAAGUUUAAAUAUAAAUAAUUUAUUAUUAAAGCAUAGAUUUUUAAUUUCAAUAAUAAAUUAUAAAUUAAUAGUUUUUAAUUAAAUUUUAAAAAAAAAAAAUUGAAGCCUCAGUUGAUAAUUGAGACUUUAAUUCAAAAAUAAAGGCUUCAGUUAAAAAAUAAAGUCUCAAUUGAUUAUUUCGAUUUUAGUUUAAAAACUAAACCUCAAUUGAUAUUUACGGUUUUAAUUUAAAAAUGAAACAUCAGUUACUAAUUGAGACUUUCAUUAAAAUUUUGAAAAAAAAUAUAAUUCUAUGAUACUACUUCUACGUGACAUCAAAAAAGUUGUUUGAAAAUAAAGUGGUUAAAUCUAUUUUAUUUUUUAUCCUGGGCCAUUUUGACCCAAAACUCGAAAAAGAGAGUCGGCAAUUUAUUUGUAUGGCCCACACGAAAUUGAUGAAUCCAUCGCCUUAGAAAUAUGACAUCCAUCAAACUCAGGCAAUCUCCACCGCAUGAAUUUUAAAAGCCACAGCAAUUGGGGAUAUUCUACCGUGGAAGAUGGCAUCAUUUUACAUUCUACUGAGGCCAAUAUCUAUGCUUCGUGGUUCUCUGGAACCAAUCAUGUAUUGCCUUGAACCCUUGAGAGAGAACAUGUGAUAUGCCCACGUCUUUUUAUUUACGCACAUUCCUACUACUUUUCUUUGUUUUUAUUGUAUAAGGUUGGAGGGUGGUCUAUGUAUUGACUCGGUAUGUAUGCUUGACUACAAACUCGAUGGUAGUUCAUAUGAGUGGAUCCUAAUAUUGUUGCAGCAAUUUGCCGAUUUCAGAGAAAAGAGAGAGAGAGAUAAUGGUCGACCCAGAAAUAACUGGAGGGAUUGCAGCGAGUACUUUGAGCUUUCUUCUAGUAAAACUCGAUGCUUUUGCAAUUAGAGAAUGGAAAUUGCAGGAAAAUAUCAAAAAGUCUGUCCAAAAUUUAGGAUGCGAGCUGAGGAACAUUCAGGCCAUGCUGAGAGAUGCUGAUUCAAAGGAAGAGCAUAGUCACCAAUUUACGGUCUGGAUUAAAGAGGUCCGCGAUCAAGCUUAUGCAAUCGAGGAUGCUCUUGACCUGUUCAAACUCAAACAAGAAUCAGUGUGGCGCCGCCUGAAACUGCGUCACUCCAUCAACGACUUGAUACAGGAUAUUGAGCGGAGUCUCCAAAACAUUCAGCGGACAAAGGAGAGGUAUCGCAGCAUGGCCUCCUAUUCAACCAAUGCUGGCAACAACACAUACCUUCAUGUGAGAGUGGCUCCUUUGUUCAUAGGUAACGUUGAUACCGUGGGCAUUGAGGAGCCUACAAAUAAGCUGGUUUCCUGGGCCUUGGAACCGAAACAGAGGCUUGAGGUGAUGUUUGUGGUGGGGAUGGCUGGACUGGGGAAGACCACUCUUGUCCACAGCGUGUAUGAGAGCGUGAAACAGAACUUUGAUUGCCAUAUCUGGAUCACUGCUUCAAAGUCCAAAACCAAACUCGAUAUCUUACGGACCUUGUUGGUGGAGAAAUUCGGCUGUACAAUCACACAGGGGGGCGAUGUGGUUGCUCUGACGCAUAAGCUGAGAAAAUUUCUCCACAACAAACGGUAUGUCAUAGUUCUUGAUGACUUAUGGGUAAAAGAUGUUUGGGAGUCCAUUAGACUUGCCUUGCCAAAUGGUAAGGACAGUAGAAUAAUUAUCACUACAAGGAGAGGCGAUAUAGCUAAUUCUUGGAGAGAUGAUGAUUCUGUUGAUAUCCACAUGCUUCAGCCACUGUCACCGGAAAGGGCUGAGAAACUCUUCUAUAAGAAAGCUUUCUCAAGAAAUGGCAGAUGUCCUUCAGGCUUGGAGGAAGUCUCGAAAUCCAUCUUACAGAAAUGUGAUGGAUUACCACUUGGGAUUAUUGAAAUCGGUAGACUUUUAUCCAUCAAGGCUCCAACUAAAAAUGAGUGGAAAAUAUUACAUGAUAGCCUUGAGUCUGAAUUGAGAGGCAGUGGUGGCCUUUCAAAUAUUACGAAAGUGCUGUCUGCAAGUUAUAAUGAUUUACCUUUCCAUCUCAAGUAUUGUUUCUUGUACAUGAGCAUCUUUCCUGAGACUAGCCCAGUUAAGCGAAGAAGGCUAAUUCGGCUAUGGAUAGCUGAAGGGUUUGUAAUAGAGAAAGGAGGCAAGACAUCUGAAGAGGUUGGGGAAGAGUAUCUGAAUGAGCUGAUUGACAGGAGUCUGAUAAAGGUAAAUGAAAUGGAUUUUGAAGGAAGGCCAAAAAGUGUGGGAGUUCAUAGUCUGAUGCUGAAGAUGAUUCUCUCAGGUGGUGUUUGUUUUUUUGGCUUUUUGCUGAAAACCAUUUAGUUUUAGAAUUUAGGUUGUUUGUUUUUUUACUUUUUCAUGACUUAUUAUAAACUUUUUACUAAAUAGAAAAAGCUAAAAUAUGUGGCUUUUUCUAAAUAGAAAAAAUAACACAAUGAUUUUUUUUACUUUUUAAUACUUAAUAGAAAUAAAAUACUACAAAAACAAACAACCUAAUAUUUAAGACUAUUAAGUAUUAAGGUUCUAUUUAGAAUUAAGUAAAAAAACAAACACCACCUCAGUCUCACGAGAGGAGAACUUUUGUUCUGUUUGUACAGGAUCAGAAAGGAACUUGAGUGAGAAAACCCGGCGCCUAUCUAUUCAGAAGGAAGAUUUUGAUGUGUCUCAGGACUUACCCUGUGUUCGAACCUUCUUCAGUUUCGGUAUAGGCAAAGUAAAGAUUGGUUCCAACUUCAAACUAUUGAAGGUCUUGGACAUACAGGGCACUCCUUUGGAAGAAUUUCCGGGUGUAAUUAAAGAUCUUCUGCUCUUGAGGUACUUGAGUUUGAGGAAUACAAAUAUAAGGAGCAUUCCAGGGACCCUGGGUGACCUUCAUCACCUUGAGACCUUGGAUCUUAAGCAGACUCUGGUAACAAAAGUACCCAAAGCAGUCCUACAACUUGAGAAACUUCGCCAUUUGCUGGUUUAUCGCUACAAUAUGGAAAGUGCCCUACCUUUUGAUAUUGUGCAGGGGUUCAAGGCACCAAAGAGGAUCGGCGCAUUGAAGAACCUACAAAAGCUGUCAUUUGUAAAGGUGAGUGGGCAGCACAGAAUGAGUCGGGAGCACAGAAUGAUACAAGGGCUCGACAAUCUUACGCAGUUGAGGAAGCUGGGCAUUGUAGAACUAGCAAAAGAACGUGGGGCGAGCUUGUGCCUCUCAAUUGAAAAGAUGCCAAAUCUCCACUCCUUGAAUGUAACCUCUCUUAAUAAGGAGGAGCCUCUGGAGCUUGAUGCAAUGACCAAUCCACCGCCCCUUCUUCAACGCUUGUACCUCAAAGGGCCCUUGAAUAGGUUUCCACAGUGGGCAACUUCUCUACAUGACCUGGAGAGAAUACGCCUAAAAUGGUCUUCACUCACAGAAAACCCGAUUGCAGCUCUUCAAAACCUCCCAAAUCUGACAGAGUUGCAGUUGCUUGAUGCAUAUACUGGAACCCAGUUGGACUUCAACUCCGGAAAAUUUCCGAAGCUGAAGAUAUUAGACCUUCAGCAAUUGGAACAGGUGAGGUCUAUCAUGAUGGAAGAAGGCACAUUGCCUUGCCUACAGAAGCUGAUCAUAAGCCACUGCAGCAGGCUGGUGCAGGUCCCUAGAGGUAUUGACAAGCUCAUUCACCUCCAAAUGCUGCUGUUGUACGAUAUGCCCGGAACAUUUGUGACCGGGCUGAGGAAAAACGGUGGUCAAUUUCGCCGUUUGGUUCACCAUAUUCCAUGUAUUCAUUCAUAUAACCAGGCCCAGUUGGAAGAUCUUUCUUGAUCAUUAUACAUCUACGAGGAAGAAUCAGGUCUGUAGAACAACCUGAAUUCAUCGUUUCCUUCUUCUAGAUUCCCCAAAACGUACUGUUGGAUUGCUAUUUCUUUUCUAGGAUUACUGCAUUUUCCUAGGAAACUAUGUAUGGUGCAAUUGAGUAUGAAAUUAUGUCCUCAAUCAAAGGUAUCAUUUUACUAUUAUUUUACAAAGGUAUCAUUUUAUUUAUACGAUGAAGACAUUUGAUUAUACAUAUUUACUUUUUUCUAAAAUUUUAUUUAUUUUUAGUGUUUUUUUAUUUUUUAUUUUUAGCUUUCCAAGUAAUAUGCUCAGCAUAAAAUUCCAUAUUGAUCUAAAAUGAGCCUGAUGGGUCUAUAUAAAGAUCUCUCAUGUAAAAGAUCAAUUUACAAGGAAUACUGGUUAUGUUUGAAAGUAGUUUUAUAUUCUUUAAAAAUAUAAAACAGUUUUUUUAACUUAAAAAACGCUUUCAUCUUGAUUUGAUAUAGCAUGAUGGGUUUAUCUAAAGAUCUUUCGAGUCAAACAUCAAUUAGAAGGAAUAUCGGUCAUGUUUGAAAAUAGUUUUAUAUUCUUUUAAGAAGAUAAGUUAAACAGUUUUUUAACCUAAAAACUAUGAUUGAAAAUUUUCAGGAAUUUGUAGAGUUUGUUUAAAAAAUAAUUUGUUUUUUUUAUAUCUUUAAGAAUUCUUUUCAAAAAAAAAAAUCUCUAAAUCUUAAAACAUCCCUCUAGCUUAAAGAUGACUUUUAGAAAAUUUUACAACUUUUCCUAAUAAAGUCUAGUUCAGAACAUCCAGAAGAGUUAUAUGUAUUCUUCAUAAUCAAAAGAUGUCCGAGAAUCACUUUUAAUAUAAAAAACGUUUUUCUAAAAAAAUAAAAUGUUUCACAAAAUUCAAAAAUCAUUUUUAAAAAAUUGAAGAAUUGUUUAGAGUGUUUUUUUUUUUAAAUUUUUUAUAAAUGUUUAAUAAGUGAUUCUCCUAAAAACUCUUUAAAAAAAACAUUUAAGUAAAAAUUCUUCUGAUAAAAAUAUUAUCAAACAUACUCUAAUUCCUUAUGCUUGAAGCUUCCAAUGCAAUUCAUUGAAAGUAUUUUCCAUAUGACUUCUCCACAAAAUAUUUCUUUAAACUUAAAACUAAAAGUCAUAUUUUUAAAAAAAGAAAAAUAAAUUCUUGACAUGUAUAGGAUAUGAGAUUUUUGUUCUAACACUAGGUUAAAGUUAAGAAUGCAAAAAAAAAAACCUGACCAUUAAGUCAAAUUUAAAUCUUGAUUAAAAAAAAACCAUUAAAAUAAAUUUGCUCUACUUUGUCUCCACCCUCUUACAUUUCUUCCACCCUCUCCCCCAUCCUAUAGAUGUACCACUGUAGUAUUUUUGGAGAGGUUAACUUGCAAAGUAAGGAAAGCUUUUUUUUAAAGGACACUUCUCCACUUGUUUGUCCAAUCGGGAUAGAAACAUAAAAUUUGCUACCAAUGAUGAAGAAAAGUAAACAGAGUGUAAGAAAACAUUUCAUGUUUAAUCUAAAAAUUACAAUCCCAACAAAAAUAUAAAAAAUCAUGUCAAUCUGGUCAAUGGAAAAGGAAACAUAGAAGAACUUAUGAUGAUUCAGUUCUUCUAUAUGAUUCAGUUCUUCUAUGUUCUGCGUGUUAGUAUUGAUGUGAAUGACACGUCUAUAAAAUCUUAGCUACUUUAUAGAGAGAUUUGUUUAUACUAUCAUUUCAAUUUUUUAUUUUUGCAUAUUACAUUUUAUUGGGUAUUGAGUAUUGUUGUGAUGUUAUAGUAUUAGCAAUAUGUUAUUAUUUCAUAAUUAUACUUUUCUAUUUUGAAUAGUUUUAUAUUAAUUUAGCUUCAAUUUUUAUGAUAAUGGAGAUGAAGAAUAAUGAACAAUAUUAAAGAGAAUAUUAGCAACAUCCAACUAUAAGAACUAACUUGAGCAUUACAAGCAUUGUCCCCACUUGUCUUCACCUUUUAAAAAAGGUUAGAUUUUCAAGAAUCUCAACCCAAUAAUUAUGUUUUUUAGGUUGGGUAGCAAAAGUCAUACGGAGAGAGAAAAGUGAUAAAAAAAAGUUCACCAAUCAAAUGGAAAUAGAUUGUUAUUAUUACUGGAUUAACUUGGUCAUUAGAUUUAAAAUAGUACAUAAUAUCAUUGUGGAAUUUGCAUGCUUGGAAGGAAGAAGUCUUGUUCUUUCCAAAGGAAUUAAUGGGAGACAGGGCAAAAUGCCUGUAAGGAAAUGAUAGUAACUUUUGAAAAAGUGGGCUAUAAAGUAAAGGAGAAUUGUGAAAAAUUAAUAUUUGGUCCAUAUAAUUUUCAUAAUUGAUAGAAAUGAUAUAAGAUGUUAAAAGACCAACAUAUCUUUCAAAUUUCUAUACAUUACCUUUUUAAUUUCUAAAGUUUUACUAAAAAAUUGUACUGACAAUUUUCUUGUUAUGAAUUAAAAUACUUUGCAUUAGUCUAUCUGGAUAAGAAAAAUUAUUAAUAUAAUAUUAAAACUUCAUAUCUUAGUUAUUUUUUUCAAUAAAUUUAUCUUUUUGGAUAUAUAUAUAUAUAAUAGAGUAAAGUGAUAGUCAAUUUUAAAAUUUUUAAAAAUAUGGUUAAUGUAGAAAAUAUAAAAAAUAUUUCAAUGAAAAAUCCCAAAAUUUUUAUCAUUGCUUAUAAUAAGAGCAAAAAGAUUCAAUAUCUUUAAAAAUGAAAAACAAAAAAAACAUUAUUACUUUUUAUUUGACAUAAAAUAGAAAUAUAGAUUGGAAGAAAAAAAAAUUAGAAAUGAGUAAUACUUAAUAGAGAAUAGAAAAGGGAAAAAAAAACACAAAAAAAUUGAAAUUCAGACUUACUUGUACCUAUAUAAGGGUUAAGGGUAUUUUAGGGAUUAAUGAAGAAUAAUAUCUUUUAUCUUAAUUUUCAUACUUUGUUUGGGUCUUGGGCUUAAAUAUGCAUGAUAUAUGGACCAAAUGUUAAUUUUUGGGCCCAACUGGACCCAAAACACAAUUCUCCCAUAAAGUAACGUGAAUUUGAAAUAAUUGAUUUGGAAUCCUAUCACCUAGAAAAUGAUUACUCCUUGGGUUAUAAAUUAAAAUGAAUUUGAAAAAAUUCAUUGGAUUCUCAUUACUUUUUUAAAAGGCUGAAUUUGAGUUGACCCAAAAUAAUUUACUUCCAUCAAAAGUAAAUUAUAAGAAUAAAGGCAAGAAAAAAGAAAAUUGGUAUGCACCAUUUAUCUUUUUACUUUGGAUUGGAUAAAUUUUGUAAAAUCAUAUUUUCCUUUUACUAUAUUUUGUAAUGUUAAUAGCAACUAACUUUCAAAAUAAUGGAAAUUAAUUUGUAUAUAAGCUUAUUUGAGUACUUCCAUAUUUUUUUUAUAAUUGAGAAUUUUUUAAAGAUUUUUUUUAAGUAUUAGCUUUUAUAUUUAUUAUUAUUAUUUUUCAUAAAAUAAUAAAUUGUAAGAAAAGAGGAGAAGAACAAGAAGGAAAAUUUAUAAUUUUUUAAUUUAUUUAGAUAUUUAUAAAAAAUAAGAAAAAGAAAAUUAAAUUGUUGAAGCUUCCCAAGCUUUUUGACUGUUAUCUAACAAAUAAUAAUAAUAAUAAUAAUAAGGAACUUCCUUAAAGCAAUGUUAUCAAAAAAUAGAAUCACAUUAGUUAAGCUCAUUUUUUUCUAAUAUAAUAAUAGCAAUUAUAGUUACUUUUUUUUUUUUUUAUUCAACUUAUUUUAAAUAGGGCGUGUGCUUAUGCAAUUAUAUUUAUUUAUUUUUCUAGAAAGAUUAAUAUAUUUAUUUAUUUGUUUAUUGUGGUUAUCUCAAAAUGAUGUCUUAUUUUCUAUUUAAAUAUUGGUAUAUAUGAAAGAUAAAGUUUAAGUAUUCAUUAAUUACGAAUUCAAUUCAACUUACUCCAAUCCAAAUUUUACCCAUAUAACCCAAAAAGCUUGUCUAAUAUGUUAGACCCGUCCAAAUUAUAGUCUUAAUUUUAAAGUCAUAUUGAUUGGUUCAUCCGUUUAUAAAAACAUAGUUAAAUAAAAUUACUUGAAAAUGAAAUUAGUAUUUAGGGCAUUGUAUCAUAAACUUGUACAAAAAAUCCUUCUGAGAAUUAGAUUUUGGUACAGUUAGAUUUUGAAGAGUUUCAAGCCAAUCAAUUUUUUUACUUUUUAUUUUUGAAAGUAGGGUAGAUUGGAAUUUUGUUAUUUUUCAUUAAAAAAACUAAAAAGGCAAAGUGAAUGCAAUACAUUAAAAAAAAAAAAAAAACUUAAUCCUAAUUAUGAAAUCUAAACCUAAUAUUUAUUUAUUUGAAAUGGGUUAGGCGUUGGUGAAUAAUUGAACAUCAUGUGAAGGUUUUUAAUUCAACAUGUAGUGAUAUUGUCAUUUGCCCCCUUCUUUUCUAACAAAAUAAUUUGAUGGAGUUUAAUCCCGAUUAUGCUCGUUAGUAAUCUUAUAAUAUCUCAUAUUUGUGAUCAAAACAUAAAUAUUCAUAUUCAAAGUUUGUAUGAUACGAGAAAAUGAGAAGAAUUAUGGAGACAUGUUUUAAAGUUAGGAACCAAAAAAGAGUAAUUUGAAUUUGUAUUCUUGCUUUUCGUAAUAAUCAAUCCAUGCAUUGAACUCAUGUGUUCAAGAUUAAACUAAUCUAACCCUAUGUCCAAUCCAAACUAUCCGAUCCAAGCUCAACUUCUUAUCAUUCCCAUGACACUCAAAAGCAACAAUAUCAUAUACAAAUAAAUUGAAAUUUAUGUAAAAUAUAUAUCACGUUCAAAUUGGCCUUAGGUUGUCCAAAACCCAAACCCAAAGCCCAGUUUAAUUUAAUUAGAGCAAUAAUAAAAUAAUUCCAAUAAUUACAAUUAAUUUAUAGCAAUUAAAUAAAAAUUUCACAGGAGUAAAAAUUAUUUCCAAUAAAUAUAUUAUAAAGUCAUGUAAAAGUUGCUAGUUACCCCUCUAGUAAAAAGUAUACAUUUAUUUAUCCCACUUUAAAAAAAAUGAUAGUAGUGAAAUCCAUGAACAAAAUUUAAUUAUCAUAUUCUUAAAAAGCACCCAAGAUCCCAAACCAUGAAUUAUAUUUAGGGAUGAUAAUAGGGUGGGUUUAAGACGAGUCGCCCCAUCCCAACCCCGUCCCAUUUAUUUAAAAUAAUUUUCAUCCCCGUCUCAUUUAAAAAAUUAAAUUGGACAGGGCGGGCCGGGAUGGGUAUAAGCAACUCCCUGCCCCGCCUUCGUUUAAUUUUUUUUUUUAAAUUACUUUUAAUAUUUUAAUUACAUUAAAGUAAAUAUAUUUUAUAAAUAAUUAAAUUAUUACAUUUUUUAUGACUUAUUUUAUUAAAAAAUACUUUAUUAUUAUCUAUAGUAGAAUAAAAAUUAAUUUAAUUUAAUUUUAAAAAAUAAUUUUAUAUACAAUUGUAGGGUGGGAUUGGACAAGGCAAUACCUGAACUCAUCCCAAACUCAUCUUGGGUUUAAAAAAAAAAUUUCAAAUCCGUUUAGUUAAAAUUCAAACAUGUUCCAUUAGGGGCAGGAUGGGUACUCGAAAAACCCGUCCCAUUGUCAUUCCUAAUUAUAUUACACCUCUGUGAUCAAAUAAAUAAAAAGAUACGUUUAAUCACAUAUUUAAUUAAUUUUUUAAAAAUAAAAGAAGUUGGGUCGUUGGACCAAAGCACAAAAGUGAGAAGCGCAUAUCUGAGCCCAUUAAAUUUGGGCUUUAACAUUGCCAGUAUGUUAGCCUACAACAAAUUCAAACUCCAAACUCCAAACUCCACCGUCAGAUCCCCAGGCACCAUCUAUGCGUAUCUCUCCCUCUAAACAAUCUCCUCCAUUUUCACGCCAUGCAUAAAGCAACAAUCCCGAGAGAAAAUAGUCUCUCAUUGCUAUAUAUAUUGUCGGAGACUGAUUUUCUUGCCUAAUUUGGAUUUUAAAAUUUCAUGCAUCUCAUUUUGAUCACAAACCUGAGAAAAGCCCCAUAUAAAAAUAACACAAGUAUUACAAAAUAAAUAAGUAUUAAAAAAAAAAAAAGAAUUAUGAACAAAUCUCAAUAUCAAAUAUGAACAACAAACACUAGAUUUAGUGGUUCACAAUAAUUUUAGGUAUGUACGUCAACAUAAGAACGAUAAAGUACAACAAACUAGAGGAGUAGAAUAGAAUACUCAUUUUUCAUCCAAAAUGAUUCCAUCAAAGUAACAAAUUAUGCCAACCUUAUCAUUGAAGAAACCUAAAAGAACAAGUACUAGAAAGGUUGUGAGGAGAUUUGAGCAAUAAUUGUAGUGAACGAAAGUUGAUACUAGAUUUGAAUUCUACUUCUAUUUAAAAGCUAAAUGCACUUCCAUGGCAUGCAAAGAGAUUCCAAAAGCUUUAAAUAAACUGAAUGGUUCUUUGAAGCAUGAUUGAAGCUUCUAAAAGUGUCAAAAAUAGAGAUUCACAAAGAAUUUUGAAUUCAUUCUUCCUUUCUUAAUCAAACCCUCUCUAGGUCCAUAAGUUGUACUAAAGAGCUUUUGAAUGUCAACAAUGAAUGACAAGGUUAUGAAAUAUGAGGUUAUCUUCCACUAAAAAUCAUUCCAAGGAUAGUUUGAUUAAACUUGAUCCACACCUAUAAUGCCCCUAUAAAAAAAAAAAAAAAAUAGAAUUGAGUCAGUUUAAGAAUGAUAGCUCCUAUAUUGACAUGUAAACGGUACCAUAAAAACACUCGUAACACACCUUUCAUGCACAUCUUGAACAUGUAGAUCAAUCAUCCAAGAUUGGCUUCUCCCACUAUUUCAAACUAUUGAAGGUUUUGGACAUACAAAGCACUCCUUUAGGAAACUUUACAAGUGCCAUCAUAGAUCUUCUGCUCUUGAGAUACUUGAGUUUGAGGAAUACAAAUAUAAGGAGCAUCCCCAAAUCCCUCAGGAACCUACGGCACCUUGAGACCUUGGAUCUUAAGCAAACUCUGGUAAAAGAGCUACCCAAAGCAGUCUACAACUUGAUAAACUUCGCCACUUGCUGGUUUAUGCCUACAAUAUGGGAAGUGUUGUAACUUUUGACGCCGUUUAAGGGUUCGCUGUACCGAGAAAGAUCGGAGCAAUGAAGAACCUGCAAAAGCUAUCAUUUGUAAAGGCGAGAAGGCAGAACAGAAUGAUACAGGAGCUCAAAAAUCUGACAAAGCUGAGGAAGCUGGGCAUUGUAGAACUAGCAGAAGAAGAUGGCAACAGCUUGUGUCACUCAAUUGAGAAGAUGCCGGAUCUCCUUUCCUUGGAUGUUACCUCCCUUAGUAAGGGGGAGCCUCUGGAGCUUGAUCCAAUGGCCAACCCCCGCGUCUUCUUCAACGCCUGUAUCUCAAAGGGCACUUGCAAAGGUUGCAAAGUGGGUAUCUUCUCUUCAUGACCUGGUGAGAAUACGCCUAAAAUGGUCCUUAUUGUCCCAAGACAACCCAAUUGAAGCUCCUCAAGAUCUCCCAAACCUGAUGGAGCUGCAGUUACUUGAUGCAUACACUGGAACCCAGUUGGACUUCAACUCGGGAAAAUUUCAGAAGCUUAAGAUAUUAGACCUUGAGCAAUUGAAACAGCUGAGGUUUAUCAUAAUGGAAGAUGGCACAUUGCCUUGCCUACAAAAGCUGAUCAUAAGGCAAUGCAAUGAGCUGAAACAUGUCCCCGUAGGUAUUGACGGGCUCCAUCAUCUUAAUGAGCUGCACCUCUGCGAUAUGCCUGAGAAAUUCGUGGCCCAGCUGAAGAAAAGAGGCGGUGAACUUCGCCAUUUGCUUCACCGUUGUUUGCAUAUUCUCUCAUAUCAACAGGGCCGGUUGGUGGAAGAUCUUUCAUGACCAUAUCUGAUACAUCUGUGACAUGCACCAGUGGAUCAAGAAUCAGGUUUGUAUAACUACAUGGAUUCAUCGCUUGCUUCUUUUGGGUUCCUCAAAAUGCAUUGUUGUCAAUUACUUUACAAGCAAUAUUACUGCAUGUUCCUAGGAAAUCAUGGUGGGAUAUCUAGCAUUUAUACAUAUCAAGCAUCAAAUAUCUGUGGAGUCGUAUUUGAAACUGCCAUUGUUGAAACUACCCCGAGACUCGGUACAAGACAUAGUCGGAUUAUGGUCAGGUGUCAAGCCCCCGAGACUUCCAAUUGAUUUUUAUGCUUCUUGUAUUAAUAAUAGUGUUGGAUUGUAAGGACUGAAUUGUUUUUAUUGUGUUUGGCUUAAAAUGUCGGGAUCAAGUUCCACGUUAAGCUUGUGGGGAUAGCCAUGGACGUAGAAAACGAAUUGAUUAUCAAACCACUCUAAAAAUCUCCUCCUUCUUUUUUAUUUUAUUUUAUUUUUAUUUUUAUUUUUAUUUUCUAUUUGUGUAUGGUUUAAUUAAUUAACAAAUAAUGGCCCUAUGCCUACGUGAAAUUGACUUGUGAAUUUUUAAUAUUAUGUUUUUAUGAUUAUUUUAGAUGAUACUAAAUAUAAUAGUGAUUUGCUUUAAUUUUUAGUUUGUUGAAUGCAUUCUCAUCCAAUUGUAUUUAUAUAUUUUCUCUAAAAUUUUUAUUAUUUUAAAAUUAUUCUAUACUUUUUUAAUUAAUCAAGCAGUUUAUUGUGCCUACAGUCUGGUCUAAUUGAAUAAAAUAUGAUUUAUUAAUGUCAACUCAGCCCAAUCAAUUCUUUCACAGAGGAACAAUGGUUUAUUAAUGUGCAAAUUAAUAGCGUUUUAUAAAUAAAAUAUUCUUAAUUUCCUCUACAAAAACAAAUUAGUGUUAAAUAAACCGAUAAUAAUAUUUUUAUUGGGAUUUUUCAAUGGCAUUAUAAAGUCACCAAUCAAUUAAUAAAAAAUGGUCAUUGAAGUCACCAUGAUUUAUUUAUUUAUUUAUUUUUACCUCGAUAAUGAUCUUAAUUAUCGUUUUUUCUGGAUUAUUUGAGUAUUAAAUUUUUUACAAAAGUAACUUUUAAUCUUUUUUUUUACUUGAAAAUUUUUAUUAAAAAAAAUUCUAUAUAGGGCAUAUAAUUAAGAUUAGGUUUAUUAAUAAAUGAAAUGUUUUUCUUAGCUGCAAUCAUGUUGACCCAUAAAUUUGUAUGAGAAAAUUUGAAUUUCUUUAUUUUCUUUUACAUGACCCAAAGGUUAAUAUAAAUUGUCUUGAAGUAGCAGUAAAGUGAUCAUUUUAAGUACCACAAAUACUUGUGAUUUGGAAAUAAUCAAAGUCUUCCCAAUGGGGACGACCCUAGGUUCCAAUACAUUAGCACUGAUUUCUUUGAGUUGUAUAUGAUGCUUCUUUUCAUGUUAUUUACGACAUUGACUACGGGAAUCCCUUGCACACGCAAGUGGCAUUCAUUAAAAGUUAAGACCACUACUUUCAAGGUCCUAUGUCCAGCUUCUGAGUAACAACAGUAUGAUUGAGUUCAACAACAAAUUUGAGAAUUUUUUUUUUAACCCAAAGUGGGUUUGGGUACAAUGUUGUCCCAUCGAAAUGAUAAAAAUAUCGAUAAUAACGGAUAUAUUAGUAUUUCGAUUUUAUAGAUAUAUUGAAGAUAUAUGUUGGAUAUUUAAAAAAAAAAUAUCGAUAGACUUAAAAUUGAUCAAAAUUCAUAAAAAUGUUAAAAAAAAUCACGUAUAAAUAUAAUUAAAAGUAUAACAAACAUUUUAAAAUUAUUUUAUUGAAAAAUUUAAUUUAUGUAUAAUAUGAUUUGUCAUAUUUGAUAAUAAUAUCAUAUGCGUCGAUAAAAAAAUAUGAAUUUUAUAAGUGUACAUUUAUUAUUAAAUUGCAUAAAAUAUUAUUGCAUAAUAAUAUUAUGAUAUUUGAUUAUAAUAUAUUUAAUUUUAAAAUAUAUUUAAUAUUAAAAUUGUGAUCCAUUUAAUUCAAUUAUAUUAAAUAAUAUAAAAUAAAUGAUGAUAUAUAUACCGUUGUGAUAUUUAAUAAUAAUUUUUAUAACUUGAAAACAUACUUUAUGUAUAUUAAUCUAAUUUGGAUGUAUUUAAUGACAAAAAAAUAAUGAUAAUUUGUAUAAGUAUUUUUUAUUUUAAAAUUUUGACAAUUUUAUUCAAAAAUAUAUAUUUAUUUUAUAUGUAAUUAUUAUAUAAAAGUCACAAUAACUAAAAUUAAUUCAUUUAGAAUAUUUUUUUUAUUAAUUUAUAAUAUAUAUGUAUAUAUUAUAAAUUAAUCUUGAAAGAUGGUUGUCCGGCAGGUGUUGGUGCCUUGGUGGGCGAUCUAUAUAAAUAAUAUGUAAAUUUAAUCAACAACAGCAUGGUUGCCUGGCUGGUGUUGGUGGGCGAGCGUGAGCCUGAGGGUCGUUCGAAUAUCCUUGGUUCCAUUCUUCUUGAUUUACCUUUGCCUUUCAAAAAUUCUAAUUCUUGCAAUCCCACAUCGGUUCAUGACACCAAAAAGGUGUAUUUAAACAUUGGAGUGGUGGAGGUCUCACUUGUGUUCAGAGCACGUUGGGCCCAAGCUGCAUUUUGGGCCUAAACAUUGGGCCAGGGCCAAAAUUAAGAGUUUUAGGGGCAAAAGGAAUUGAGAAUGAUGACGUGGCAGCGAUAUCGUGAAAAUAUCGAGAAAAAUGGCGAUUUUAAUGGAAAUAUCGCCGAUAUUUCCUCUAUAAGGUUAUAUUUAAUAUUAAAUAAAAAUGAUUUUAAUUAAUUUUUGACUUUUUUUAACAUAUAUAAAAUAUUAUUUUUUUAUAAAAAUAAAUUAUAAAUAUUUAUAAUAUUUAUUUAUUUGUAAACUAUAUUUAUUUUUAAUACAAUUUAAAAGUAAAAAAUUAAAAAAUAAAUAAAUAAACAGAUAUGGUGAAUAUGAUAAUCGUUGAUUUUCAUGAUUCUUAGUAAAAAUAAAAGAAAAUAAAAACGAAAAAAAGAAGAAGAAAAACAUAUAGAUUUAAUGUGUUCAAUAGAUUACGUACACGGAAUAGGGAAUAAAACUUUCAUUAUCUUUGAAAUUAGGGUUAUAUAUUAAAAUUUUAUUAUUAUCAUUAUCAUUUAUAUUUUAUUUUAUUUUUAAAUAAAUUUAUAUUUUUAAUAUUUUAAAAUAAAAACAUUCAAAUUAAAAAGAUAAAUAUAAAAAAUUUAAAAGUGAAGUAGUAAUUUUUUAGAAUGGAAUUAAUGAAAUAGAUUAUGAUUUUUUUAAUAUUUAUAUUUUUUAUAUUUAAUUAUCAUAUAAAUAAUAUAAAAAAGACUUAUUAAAAAAUUAUAAUAUUAAAAUUUUAUAUUUUUAUUAAUCAAUUAAAUAUAAUUUAAAAUAAAAUAAUUAAAAUUAAGUUUUUUUAAUGAUGAAGCUUAACAAAUUUAAAUUGAAUAUAUAUUAUCAAAGAGCAUCAUAAUGGUAAAUAUUCGAUAUUUCCCAUAGUGAUUUAAUCCAAAUAAAGAAGGAUAAUUAAUAAUUAUUUAUAUAGAGAGAGGAAAAUUGUUUCAUGAUUUGUUUUUUUUUUUUUUAUCUCUACUAAAUAUAAAAAUCAACCCAAUUCUCUCACUCGGGAAGGCCCUAUUUUCCUCUGCCACUGUCAAUCCUCGCAGGUACUAAUCUAAUCAUGUUAUUAUUAUUAUUAUUAUUAUUAUUAUUAUUAUUAUUUUUGCAACCCCGUUUGAUCCCCAAGAAAAUCCAUCCCCCAUUCGAUUUCCGGGAAAAUUCAUCCUCGUUUGAUUUCCGAGAAAAUCCAUGCAAAACCCCCCAAAGAAAUCCAAAAAAAUUGCUUUUUCUUUGCUCCCUGUGUUUUCUGGAUCUGUUCUAGGGGUCUCUUUGCUUUUGUGCCAUUGGAUUUAAAUUUCACGAAGCCUAAAUCCACGAUUUUUGAGCCAGACUGAAAAAAACAACCUUUGCCUGCAAAUCCACGAUUUAAGAGUUAUAUUUAGUAUUUUUGCAGUCAGUGAAUGUGCCGCCACAUGUUUGAAUGAUUGGAACUUCAAAAACCAGUAACUUGUUUUUGCCAAAGCAAAGGAUUGAAUAUUUCCUUGGUGGAUUUUUGGGAACUGAUCAUGCACCCACAAGAAAUCUCCAUCAAGCAUGAAGUUGUCUUAUUCGAAGGUUGACCCUUGGUGCAUGGGGUCAUUCAAUAAGGUUAAUAAAUUGUCUGGAGGGAGCAGUAAAUGAUAACAUAUAGCCGUGUGCUUGGAAAUAUUCGAAGUCUUCCCAAUGGGGAAGACUCUAGGAUCCAAUACAAUCCUGGUUUUCUUGAUUUAUAUCUAAUGCUUGUGGUUGUAUUAUUUGUGUCAUUGACUCCUGAAGUCUUUUGGAAGUAUACUUGGAUGUGGCAUUCAUCAGUAGUUAAAAUCAUUGUUUUCAGGGCCCCUACGCCAAGCUCCCAAGCAACAGCAAGGUGAAGAGAAAGAGCAUGAACCCAGAUCUAGCUGGAGGGAUGGCAGACGGGGCUGUGUCGUUUCUUCUUCAAAAACUUGAAGCUUUUGCAAGUACAGAAUGGAACUUGCAGGAAAAUAUCAGGAAUGGAGUCCGUGAGUUACAAAGGGAGCUGUGGAGAAUAGAAGCCAUGAUGAGAGAUGCUGAUGCAAAGAAAGAUUAUGAUAACCAAUUCAACGUGUGGAUUCAAGAAGUUCGCACAGAAGCUUAUGCCAUUGAGGAUGUUCUUGACCUGUUCAGACUCCACUGGGAUCAAGAAUCAGUGUGGCGCCACUUGAAAAUGUGGCACUCCAUUAGCAACCUGAUACAGGAUAUUAACACAAGGCUCGCGAUCAUUAAGCAGACAAAGGAGAGGUACCAGAUCAUUAAGGAGAUAAAUGAGAGGUAUCCGAUGAUGGUCCCCACCAAUUCAGUUAGUUCGGAAACCAACACAUACCAUAAUGUGAGAGCAGCUCCUUUGAUCCUCGGCUGGGGCAAUAACACCAUGGGCAUUGAUGAGCCUAAAAGGAAGCUGGUUUCUUGGGCAUCAAAGUCGAAUCAGAAACUCAAGGUUAUGUUCCUAGUGGGGAUGGCUGGGUUGGGCAAGACAACGCUUGCCUACCGCGUGUACGAGGAGGUGAAGGAGCACUUUGAUUGCCAUGCCUGGAUCAUUGCUUCAAAGUACCAAACCAUAGAUGAAACCUUACGGAGCUUGUUGGAGGAACUUGGCUCUUCAACAGAGGGGUCCGGCAUAGUUCUUCUCAUGCAGAGACUGCACAAUUUUCUCCAGCACAAACGGUAUGUUAUAGUUGUUGACAAUUUAUUGGUAAAAGAUGUGUGGGAAUCCAUUAGACUUGCCUUGCCAGAUGGUAACGACAAUAGAAUAAUUAUCACUACAAGAAGAGGCGAUAUAGCUAAUUCUUGCAGAGAUGAUUCUAUUGAUAUCCACAAGGUUCAGCCACUGUCACUGCAAUGGGCUGAGCAACUCUUCUAUAAGAAAGCUUUCUUAGGAGAUGGCAGCUGUCCUUCAGGCUUGGAGGAAGUCUCGAAAUCCAUCUUACAGAAAUGUGAUGGAUUACCACUUGGGAUUAUUGAAAUCGGUAGGGUCUUGCGGAGUAAGCCUCGUCAAACUAAAUACGAGUGGAAAAAAUUACAUGAUAGCCUUGAGUCUGAAUUGAGAAGCGGUGGUGCCCUUUCAGAUAUUAUGAGAGUGUUUUCUGCAAGUUACAAGGAUUUACCUUACCAUCUCAAGUAUUGCUUCUUAUACAUGAGUAUUUUUCCUGAGAAUAAUCCAGUUAAGCGAAGAAGACUGAUUCGGCUAUGGAUAGCUGAGGGAUUUGUAACAGAGGAGAGAGGCAAGACUCUUGAAGAGGUGGGGGAAGAGUACCUGAAUGAGCUUAUUGGCAGGAGUCUGAUAAAGGCAAAUGAAAUGGACUUUGAUGGAAGGCCAAUAACUGUUGGAGUCCAUAGUCUCAUGCAUAGGAUAAUUCUCUCAGUUUCACAAGAGGAGAACUUCUGUACUGUUUGUGCAGGACCAGAAGGAAACUUGACUGACAAACCCCGGCGCCUAUCCAUCCAGACGGGAAACUUUGAUGUGUCUCAGGACUUAACCUGUGUUCGAACUUUUUUCAGUUUCAGUACAGGUAGGAUAAACAUUGGUUCGAAUUUCAAACUAUUGAAGGUUUUGGACAUACAAAGCACUCCUUUGGGAAACUUUCCAAGUGCCAUUACAGAUCUUGUGCUCUUGAGGUACUUGAGUUUGAGGAAUACAAAUAUAAGGAGCAUCCCCAAAUCCCUCAGGAACCUACGGCACCUUGAGACCUUGGAUCUUAAGCAGACUUUGGUAACAAAGGUACCCAAAGCAGUCCUACAAUUGGAGAAACUUCGCCAUCUGCUGGUUUAUUGCUACAAUAUGGAAAGUGCACCUUUUGAUAUUGUUCAGGGGUUCAAGGCACCAAAGGGGAUCGACGCAUUGAAGAACCUACAAAAGCUAUCAUUUGUAAAGGCGAGUGGGCAGCACAGAAUGAUACAAGGGCUCGACAAUCUUACGCAGUUGAGGAAGCUGGGCAUUGUAGAACUAGCAGAAGAACAUGGGGCGAGUUUGUGCCUCUCAAUUGAAAAGAUGCCAAAUCUCCACUCCUUGAAUGUAACCUCCCUUAAUAAGGAGGAGCUUCUGGAGCUUGAUGCAAUGACCAAUCCACCGCCCCUUCUUCAACGCUUGUACCUCAGAGGGCCGUUGGAAAGGUUUCCACGGUGGGUAUCUUCUCUACAUGACCUGGAGAGAAUACGCCUAAAAUGGUCUUCACUCACAGAAAACCCGAUUGGAGCUCUUCAAAACCUCCCAAAUCUGACAGAGUUGCAGUUGCUUGAUGCAUACACUGGAACCCAGUUGGACUUCAACUCGGGAAAAUUUCAGAACCUUAAGAUAUUAGACCUUGAGCAAUUGAAACAACUGAGGUUUAUCAUAAUGGAAGAUGGCACAUUGCCUUGCCUACAAAAGCUGAUCAUAAGGCAAUGCAAUGAGCUGGAACAUGUCCCCGUAGGUAUUGACGGGCUCCAUCAUCUCAAUGAGUUGCACCUCUGCGAUAUGCCUGAGAAAUUGGUGGCCCAGCUGAAGAAAAACGGUGGUCAAUUUCGCCAUUUGGUUCACCAUAUUCCGUAUAUUCAUUCAUAUAACCAGGGCCAGUUGGAAGAUCUUUCUUGAUCAUUAUACAUCUAUGAGGAAGAAUCAGGUCUGUAGAGCAACCUGAAUUCAUCAUUUCCUUCUUCUAGGUUACCCAAAACGUCCUCUUGGAUUGCUAUUUCUUUACUAGGAUUGCUGCAUUUUCCUAGGAAACUAUGUAUGGUGCAGUUGAGUAUGUUUAGUGUUUUUUUAAUUUUUAAUUUUUAGCUUUCCAAGUAAUAUGCUCAGCAUACAAUUCCAUAUUGAUCUAAAAUUAGCAUGAUGGGUCUAUAUGAAGAUAAUUUGCAAGGAAUAUUGGUUGUGUUUGAAAAUAGUUUUAUAUUCUUUACAAAGAUAACAGUUUUUUAACUUAAAAAACGCUUUCAUCUUCAUUGCAUGAUGGGUUUAUCUAAAGAUCUCUCAAGUCAAACAUCAAUUUGCAAGGAAUACCGGUCAUGUUUGAAAAUAGUUUUAUAUUCUUUCAAAAAGAUAAAUUAAACACUGCAAGUUUAAAAAAUAAUUUGUUUUUUAUAUCUUUAAGAAUUAUUUUUGAAAAAAAAAUCUCUAAAUCUUAAAACACCGCUUUAGCUUAAAGAUGACUUUUAGAAAAUUUUACAACUUUUCCUAAUAAAGUUUGGUUUAGUUCCAAGAGUAUAUAUAUAUAUAUAUAUAUAUAUAUAUAUUCUUCAUAAUGCUUUUAGAAAGUAUUUUUAAUAUAAAAAACGUUUUUCUAAAAAAAUUAAAAUGUUUCACGAAAUUCAGAAAUCACUUUUAAAAAAUUAAAGAAUUGCUUAUAGUACUUUUUUUUAUAAAUGUUUCAUAGAUGAUUUUUCUAAAAACUCUUUUGAAAAAAACAUUAAAGUAAAAAUGCUUUUGAUAAAAAUAUUAUCAAACAGCUCUAAUUCCUUAUGCUUGAAGCUUCUAAUGCAACUCAUCGAAAGUAUUUUCCAUCUGACUUCUCUACAAAAUGUUUCUUUAAACUUAAAACUAAAAAUCACAUUUUAAAAAAAAUAAUAAUUUCGUGACAUGUAUAGGAUAUGGGAGUUUUGUUCUAACACUAGGUUAAAGUUAAGAAUGCAAAAAAACCCUAACCACCAAAUCAAAUUUAAAUCUUGAUUAAAAAAAAAAACCCUUAAAAUAAAUUUGCUCUACUCUGUCUCCUCCCUCUUACAUUUCUGGCUCCGCCAUUGUUCCACCCUCUCCCUCAUCCUAUAGAUGUACCACUGUAGUAUCUUUGGCAGAGGCUAACUUGAAAAGUAAGAGAGAAGGCUUUUUUUUAAAGGACACUUCUCCACUUGUUUGCCCAAUCAGAAUUUGGUUCUCAUAUCAUUUUUACACAAAUAGUCGUUCCGAGAUUAAAUUUUUCUCAUCUCUUCCUAAUAUCUUUCCAUAAACUCACCCCAAGAGUCUCUGUCACCUCUAGAGUACUCCACCCCCAUCCAUCUCCCCAAAAUUUACCUUGGAUGAUCUUCUUCCACAAACUAUCAUGCUUAUGAGCAAACCUCAACCACCAUUCCUAAUAAGGCCUGGCUUCUAAUUUGGAUCCUCCAAACUUCUCAUCCUUACAAACCAUCAUCUGGCUCAUUAAAAGUACUUUCUGAAGUCCUCCAUAAAAGCCUCUUUGAAUUUUUCAUUCUAAUUAUCACUUGCCAAAGCAUUGGAAAUAGGUCAUGAAAUAUAUUGAAAAACCCAAGAGGGUACCCUUUAUAAGGAUUAAUCUUCCCACCCCACCUAGGUAAAUUUUUUGGGAACUCACCCGUAAGAAAUCUCCAUCAAGCUUGUGCUCGGUGGAAGGUUAAACCUUGGUGCUAGGUGUCUUUCGCUAAGAAAUCGUUUUGAAUAUGUUAGUUUUUAGUUGUAUGGUUAACUAAUGUUGUUCAUUAUUAGGAUAAUUGAAACUGGUAUUCUAUGGAGGGCAUAAAUUAGUAAUAGAUUUAUGAGAAAACUUGGAAUUUCUCUAGUUUCUUUUCUGACAUGCUGCAUGUAAAUGACACAAAGGUUAGCAUAAAUUGCCUUGAGGUAGCAGUCAAGUGAUCCUAUAAGUACCACAAAUACCUGUGAGCUUGGAAAUAAUCGAAGUCUUCCCAAUUGAGAUGACCCUAGGUUCCAAUACAUUAAUACUGAUUUUCUUGAGUUGUGUAUGAUGCUUCUUUUCAUGUUAUUUACGGCAUUGACUCCUGGACUCUCUUGUACAUGCUAGUGGCAUUCAUUAGAAGUUAAGACCACUGUUUUCCAGGGCUUUCGAGCAACAGCAAUAUGGAGGUGGAAUUUUCCUAUGGUACAAGUUUGGAAUAAAUAUCAAUGGGUUCAAGACAAAUUUGAGAAUUUUUUGUGAACCCAAAGCGGGUUUGGAUACGAUGUUGUCCCAUCCCAAAUUAUAUGUAAUAUUAAAUAAAAAUGAUUUUAAUUUAUUUUUAACUUUUUUAACAUAUAUAAAUUUUAUUUUUUUAUAAAAAUAAAUUAUAAAUAUUUAUAAUAUUAAUUUAUUUAUUUGUAAACUAUAUUUAUUUUUAAUAUAAUUUAAAAGUAAAAGUUUUAAAAUUUAUAUGUAAUAUUAAAUAAAAAUGAUUUUAAUUUAUUUUUAACUUUUUUAACAUAUAUAAAUUAUAUUUUUUAUAAAAAUAAAUUAUAAAUAUUUAUAAUAUUAAUUUAUUUAUUUGUAAACUAUAUUUAUUUUUAAUAUAAUUUAAAAGUAAAAGUUUUAAAAAAGAAAUUAAGAAAAGAUAAAUAAAUUGACAAAGUGAAUAUGAAAAUUUCCUAAACGUUAUUUAUUUAUUUAUUUUUCUAUUUUGUGGAGAUGAAAUAUAUAUAAAUAAAUAAGACGAGAUUAGGAUAUGAGUGAACGUCUUAAACCUACCUGUUAUCAUCCAUAACCUAGAAGACUGAGUCCAAUGUUGAUUUUUAAGAUCCGUUUUUGGGUCUGGGUUUGCAGAAAAAACAAAAGACCUAACGAUUUAUUCGUUUGGCCUACAUGAAGUUGAUGAAUGUAACACCUUAACUUGGAACAUGACAGAUCCAUCAAACUCAGUCAAUCUCCACCGUAUAAAUUUUAAAAAAUCACAACAAUUUGGAAUUUUCAACCAUUGAAUUUUCAAAGAUAGAAUAAUUUUAUAUUGUUCCGAGGCCGAUGCUAAAGGGUUACAUAGAACUUUCAAAAUAUCUUUUUUCCCGAGAGAAAAUAUUUUGAAUAUAUUUGGUCCCCAAAACAUUUAAGGGUACUGUGGAUCCCACAUUUCGGCUUAAUGCGUUUCUCACUCGAUGGCGAGCUCGAUUUUUAUUUGAAAAAUUGAUUUUUUAUUGAUUAUUUGAAAAUGACUUGGAGUCGCCACUUAUUUUUGUUUUAUUUUUAAAGAGUAAACAAAAUAAGAAAGAAAAACUCUAAGUGUGACUCCUUAUUUUGGAAAAGACGGUCUAUGAAAAACCGGAUCGAGUUCGGGGGUCAGGUUAUUUAUCGGGAAGGUACGGUAAAGACCGUAGCACCCCUCUAAGUCUUUAAAGUCGGGUCUCUACUAAUGAGAUGAAGCUGACAUGACAAUCAAUGAGAAAAUCAAUGAAUAUUCGAAUCAAUCAUGCACAUAUAAGUAUCAGAAUAUGCAAUAGAGGAUAACCGAAGUGGAAGUGGAUGCGUACCUGAUCAGCAAACGGCAACGCGCUAUCACAAAAUGGGAUUAGUGCAUAGUAAUGAACACAAAGUAUAUCACUCAUAUCACCCAACCAGAUAAAGAAGCACCAAUAUCAUGUAUGACAUUUCAUUCAAUUCCAUUUUUAUUUUAAAGGAAAUUUAUUUGAUGUCGGGCCCCCACCAUAGCCCGUUUUAUUUUGCAUGAACUAAUUCCAUAAAUUCCAUAAUUUGGAAUUACGAAAUUUGAUUCUUGCUUAUUUUUAAAACAUUUUAAAAACAAAACUAAGGAAAAUAUGAAAAUUGCAUGCCAGAGAGAAAAAAGGUAGCAAAAUUUUAUUAAAAAUAGGACUCUUGGUGAUCCUAAAAAUUCUAAGGAUGAAACAUGAGGGAGUUGGGAUUAUUUAAGAAACAUAAAAACCUGAAAAUUAUUUGAAGAAAAAGAUGUUGGAAAGUUAUUUUAAAAAAAACAAAGAUGAGAAAAUGGGAUAAUGGCACGUGGCUCUAAGAUAGCAUGCCAAAGGUGGCCAUGCAAAACUUACCUCUGAGGUUUGACUGGAUGCAGACAUCCCACUGCAGUUACUGCAUCCCGAAGAUAUGACACGUGUCUAAAAUUGAGAGACUCCGCUCCUUUGCUUCCUAACAAAAACUACCUCGAGAUGCAUAUAGACAACCCCAGAGACCAUAUCAUAGUCCACAUGACCUUCUUUGCCUGCUAUCACCUCUACACAUGCCACCUCAUCCUCCUCUGUCUUGUGAGUUAACAUGGAACCUGGAAUCACUUCAUCAAUAGCUCAGACGCCAGCUUUGUUCUGAGCAUGAACUUCAUCUUUUGUUUCUCGAGAACACGCUGAAAUUGCCUUUCCAUGCUUGGAGCAAUGUCUGGAACAAUGUAUUUAUAUCCCAUGGAAUUGCUUAAAAUCAUUCAGCAUUUCCAAGUCAACUAGUCUCAUUGACAGAAGAAGUUGGUGCAGGCUGGAUGUUAAGGAAAUGGUGAUAUGCACCUCAUGAUAAGGCUUAGGAAGAAUGCUGGAGGAUGCACGCACGUGGGAGAAUAUGGGAUGGGUGAGUGGAAAAUGAAUAGUGGAGGAUGAAUGAUGGACUUAAUGGAUAUUGAAGGGUGUAAACCUAGAGAGAGAAGUGGGUUUAUUGACGUAGCUAGGUGAAUGGUGGGGGUAAUAGGAUGCAGAGAUCAAGAAGCAGGAAUAGCUUGAUUUUCUUUGCUGAAGAACCAGUCAACUUGAUGGAGGAGACGAUCCCACAUAAAAAUAAAGGGCAUGAAAUAACCCAGGUGGGUCCACCGUUCUUGAUGAGACGUCAUUGUUGAGCAAAGAUAAAGUGCCUGUCUCACAUGGAGCUCAUGACCACAACCUUCAGCAGCCAAUGAACAUACUCUCCCAAAGCAGGCAGCAUAAAUACUAGCAAUGGUUCAGACCAAUGAUGGAUCCACGUUGUUCCCCUUGAGAAAAUCAAGAACCCUCCAUUUGCAGCCUCCAAUAUGGAACACGUCCGAGUAGAGCUUCCGGAUAUUCAAUCCAGAAAAGUUCUCAAUUGUCAACGCAAACCUGGUCGACAAGGGAUCUUCUACAGUCUGCGCAUCCACUAUACUAGCAGUAUCUGAUCGCGCCACUUCCAUGGGCUGGGGACCGUCGGCGGGGUCGGUGUGCAAAACAAACAUUUCAUUGUCUUCAUCUAAGGGCGGAAGAGUCAUGAGAGUCCUUAGUGGACAGGAAUGGCCGUCUGAUCGGCAUAUUUGAGACAUGAACUAGAGAGAGAGAGAGCCAGGGAGAAGCAGCCUUUGCAACUUAAACACAAAGGAACUAGUGCUAGCAUAAAUGCCAAAAAUUCCAAUAUUGUUGAAGAUAUUAUCGAACCCAGAGAAAGAUUGGAGCUGCUGAUACUCAUUCAAGAUACCGAGAUAUAACCGCGAGUGCAAUCCUAUCCUAUGACUUCCCUUUAGAAUCAUUUCCACGUAAACACCUUGAUUAUAUAUUAAGCUUCCAUCAGGUAAAUGUACCUGAAGUGAUUUUGUAUCUUUUGAAGGCUAGGUACAGCACGUCAUGUCUUGGGGGUGCAUGAAUCAAAUUCUUCCAGGAAGCAUUAGCCGGACCACGUGAAACAUCAAAGGCUGCACAUAACUCCAUCCCAGACAGCUUUGCCUUGCUGCUUGACAUAGGGUCAAACCCACCUCAACGUUCAUGAUCUUAAUGAACUUGAAUGAUUAACAAUCCCAUAUCCCGAAUCUGAGAUUUCUGGACCAGCUGAUCAAGAGCUCGCAGCAUGACUUUCGAUGCAAAUUCAGCAUCACAGUCAUCUCCUCCAUAAAACUCUUGGCAAGUUUUCUGUCAACACGGGUUGGGAGUUUCCCAUCAGCUUGGGGAUUUCCUAGCUGCCCAUAAACAGGACUUCCCAUUGUAACCCGGAAGACCCGUAUCAACAUUUGAUCCCUUGGAAUGCGCACAUGAUCAAAUCUUAAAACUCCAUUGUCCAUGUUGUAAUAUCCUCCAUUUCCAAAUUCAUACCAAUAUCACCGAUAGUUAUGCCCAAAAAAGGUAAAUGAUCAUCCAUACAUAUCACCCUGCAUAUUGCUAAUCUCUGUUCAGUGUAGCGCAGGGCCAACAUAGCCAGCAGUUGCCUGGUAGAGUGCAAGUCCAGGGUAAACAAUGGCUUCUUGGGAACCAAGAUCUUCAUUCACAAGAACCCAAUGACCAUGAAAGUCUCGUACAAUGUAAAGCCUUCUUUAUGAUGGGAAAUAGCAGAACGAUGGAGAGAACGGGCCUCAAUGCAUCUCACUCACGAGUCAUUAUAGCCAAGUGUUGAAGUAGAGCAUGCCCUGAUAGCCAGGGGGGUGAUUUGGACCAGAAAUUCCAACCUAGAUUUCUCCAGGGAAGUGCAGACUGCAGUAUCCUCUCUCCUCUUUCAAAGGUAUCUCUUCUCUCAAAACCCAUAUAAGGCACAGGAUCCAGUAACAGAGGUGGCCUCAACCAUAAAAAAAAAUGCAUGAAAACAGAGCACAAAGGGAAACAAAUAAAAAGGUCAUCAAAGGAAGAUUCACAUCAUGAGUCAUCAGUGAACCUUCCUAUUAGGUGAGGAAAAACAGCAUCAAAUGCAAAUAUUGGUGGGGUUCUCGGGCAUUUCAUAGUCACAAAUAGAAAUAGAACAUAUUAAGAUUGACAAUGCAGGUAUGAAUUCAGGAUUAUAUCUCAACAAGCAACAAGUGGCUUCAUUAUCCACCCCAAGCAAAACAACAAAUAUCCAAAUAUCAACAAGCAAUGCAGAGGGAUAGCAAGGAUCCAAAUCAAACAAUAAACCUAUUGCCUUCAUACCUGAGAAUGUCCUUCUCCAGUGAGGCUCUCUUCUUCUACAAACACCUCAAGUUCCCCUUUAAAAUCAACAAAACUAAUGAGACAGCAGCACCUCUUCUACUCGCCAAACGCACAGCUCUCUUGCCUCAAACUUGCCUCCCCAGCCAAACUUCCCCCCUCUGAAAAUAUCUCUCAGACCUGCAUCCAAAAGCCCCCUCUCUCUCUCAUCCGCUCCUCCUCUCUGCCAGAAAACAGCAGUCCAAAAAAGCACCACUACCUCUCACAGUUUGCUGCUCCUAGCUCCAGGGAUCCUCCCCCUCUCUUGGAAACUUCUUCAAACCUCUUCCCCUCUCCUUGCAGAAACAGCCAAAAGCACCCUCUUCACCUGCAGGAGAAGCUCCCCCUCUAACAGACUCUGAACGCCCCCUGCAUAUCCUCCUCCAGGUGUCGCCUCCUGAUAGCUCUUCAAAAAGCAAUAUCUGAUUCCAUAGCAGCCAAUUAAAGGACGCCAUGUGGUCUCCUGGGGUUGCGACACUUGGCAAAACAAGCUGCAUGAAAAGUGCAUGAAACCGAGUCCCAAAAUGGGGGUCUACAGGUACACAUAGGGAAAAAAAUAUGAAAGAAAGAAAAAGUAAAGAAAAAAAAUAGAUUUAAAAUCAAUAAAUUAUUUUUAUAUAUUUCUUUAAAUUAAUUUUACUAUUUAUUUUCCUAAAUUAAAUCAUUUUAAAAUACAUAAAUUUCUAAUUAAUUUUUAUUAUAUUUGAUUUUCUUUUGUAUAUUCUUUUUAUAGUGAAAUUAAACAUAAGAAAAUCCGUUUUAUUAAUUUUUUUAUCUUUUACUUUCCAAGAACCUAAACUAGUACUAAGAAGCUAUAGCCCAGGUUUGAAAUAUUGCUAAAUACGGAUAUAUUGAUACUUGAAUUUUAUUUUACAGAUGUAGAAGAGAAAUAUCGAUGGAUAUUUUGACAAAAAUAUCGGUAAAAGUAAAAAUUAUUUAAAAUUCAUGAAAAUAUUUGAAAAAACUCUAAUAAAAAUUCAUAUUUUAAAGUUAGUUUUGUAAAUGUAAUUUACAUAGAUACUGUUAUGAAGAAAAAUAUCUAUAUGGAAUGAUAUAUCGGUUUUAAUAUAUAAUUUAUUAUUUAAAAUCAAAGAAUAAGGAAAUAAGAAGGAUAAUACUAUGCACAUACACACAUGUGCUUUUUUUUUUUUUUUUUUUUUACAUAUAUACAAAAUGUACAUGCUCUGAACGCAAACCAAGAAGCCCCAAAGACGAGGUCAAAAAUGGACAAACAUGCUCUCAAACGUCAAUGUAAUAUAAACUCUCUCUGAUGAUGUGACCUUCUCAAACUAAGGAUUCCUGGAUCAACGUCCGUAGGAUAGAUAGUGGAAAAUGACAUGACUACCCUCUAUGUAAUGAACUGAGGAUGAUCACCACUCGAGGUGGGAGAAGAUGAAGUGGAACAAACGAUAGAUAUAAUAAAGAAGCGGAUGAAGAACCAACGAGAUGUGAUGAAAUGCAAUGACGCAAUGAUAGGAAAAGAUAAUGAGAAAGAUGUGCCCCUUGGUCCAAGGUUCAUGAAACUCCUAAACAAUGCAUGCAUACACUGAAGGGCCCCUAUCCCGGUGUAGAAGGUGAGCAAGGCUAUAAGAAAUAAAAGGUUAUGAUGCUCAUGCGAGGCUCAAAGGGCUAGCAAUGGUCUAGAUGUCAAUAAAGGUAAUAGGGUGUGAGUUAACCGAAAUGAAGGUCACCCAUCCUGCGACCACAGUCUCAAACAUCGUGCUAUCAAGCCCUCAAAUGAUCAAUACUAAAGAUCGAUGUCCAUCUGAUAUAACCACGUCAACCCUCUAGAAUCAUGCACCAACCGUACUCCAAAUGCUCCAUAAUAAUCUCAAAGAUGAUCCUCUCAAAGCAAAGUGAACGGUGAUCUCAUCAGGCACGACUGCCUAUCACAAGCCAACCCUCAUCAUACAAGAUCAAUCUCUAUACUCAUGGCAAAAUAAGUGACAGUCUCAUCAAGCAACCGACCAAUCCUCAUAUCGUAAACCAUCCAAAGAUCAUAAGCUAUCCCUCGCCAUGCAAGAACAACCCUGGGCUCAAACUCCUCACACUCUACUUGGUCGGAUCAGAGAGGGGAUGUGCAAAGCUAGAAAAGCCGAGGAUGGAAAGGUCAUAUAAUGGUAUCAAGGGUGAUGUUGUGCAAAGCUCAUAAUGGAUGGAUGUAGGUCAAAACAGAGUCAAGGUGUGGGAAGUGAGCAAGGUACUGCUCUGAUCAUAAGAAGAUGUGUCACAAUCUCGAACUCCCUAAGUCAAAUCUCUGAUCCUAGGCUAAUAGGCUCAAUAUCCUCCAUGACAGGUCAAGCCUCAAGACCACAAUGUGCAAGUGAAGAGAUGCCUCAAGUCAAAAGUACAACACAUCAUAUCACAAAACACAAGCAUAUGUCCAUAAAGGAAAAUGCAUCCAAUGGGAUAAUCGAUGAGUACAUCAUGCAAAAGAAGGAUAAUAAAGACAAUACUCAAGAAACGAGUUAUAGUCUCUAAAUGUCAAAAGCAAAACAAGAUUAAACAAACAAAAACAAAAACAGUGACUGGUCCUGUCAUCACAUCUCUGGCCACAAAAGGAACAAAAUUUGAGCGCCACUGUACCAAGGCAAGCCAAUCAUGAGUCAAUCGCCCAAAUCAAUAAGAUCAGGGACUGCUGGUGAAGGAGCGUCUACAUGCAUGGCCAGAGCUGAGAUAGGAAUAGGAAACAUAUCAGACUGAAGAUGCCCAAACGUCCCAGAAUCAACAAUGUCAUGUAUGGCAUGUUUGAAGAGCAUAGCAUCCUUGUUUCAGAUGAGAAUGUGAUCAAUGAUUAUACACUAAAGAUUCAUAUAAGUUUUGAUGUGGAAAAUGGACUAAAAGCUGCCGAGUAUAUUCAUAAUGCUAUAUCAAAGUGGUUCCCACUUCGGCCAUGGUGUUUGACCUUGAAAAUUCUUCUAUAGCAGUGAGAAUUGAAUAAGACAUAUUCUGGCAGAAUUGGUUCUUAUGUCCUCUUUGCUAUACUUCAACCAGCAGAUGACCAAUGUGGCACUCAUAACCGUAGCCAAGAACUGCCCAAUUUUACACGCUUCAGGUUGUGCAUUCUGGACCCUACACAAACUGACCCAUUAACAUGCUCGCCACCACCUACAUAUUUUCUUAAUCGUCAAACAGCAAGCAAAGCUGUCCUCAAGCCGCCGGCGGCGAAACGCCUCCGCCAUCAUCAAAGCACCAGUCCAACCAUACCCAAAUUUCUUUCUUUGUUGCUUCCUGAUGUAAAAGCUCCUCCAUCCAUGCAUCUUAUGAAGGUAACAACAUCCCAUUAUCAAUCACGACUCAAGCAAAGCCAUUCCCGUCAUAGCCUUCAUUCUCUCUGCAUUCCUCAUACCCACUCCUCUCUAAACCUUCCCAUGCAUGCCACUACUCUGUUAAUACCCACAAACCCACUGCUCAUGGCCGAUACUCCCCUCAUUACCUUCCCUCACUCAUCCAUUCUGCCAUUAAGUGCACACUUUCUUUGGUAAGGCUGCUCACCUUGUUGACAACACCAACCACCAGGGCCACUUCCAAAAGGUGUUGACUGCCAUUGGGAACUUCUGUAUAUACUCCAUUGCGUUUGGCAUAAUAGUAGAAAUAGUGGUGAUGUACCCAAUUCAGAGAUGCAAGUACAGGGAUGGGAUCAAUAAUCUUUUGGUGUUUCUCAUUGGAGGAAUACCAAUAGCCAUGCCAACAGUGUUGUCAGUGACAAUGGCCAUAGGCUCUCACCGUCUGUCAAAGCAAGGUGCUAUCACAAAGAGGAUGACAGCAAUAGAAAAGAUGGCUGGAAUGGAUGUUCUUUGCAGUGACAAGACUGGGACUCUCACCUUCAACAAGCUUAUAGUGGACAAAAGCAUGAUUGAGAUAUUUUCAAAGGACGUGGACAGUGAUGUGGUGAUUCUGCUUGCGGCUAGGGCUUCCCGGGUUGAGAAUCAGGAUGCCAUUGAUGCCUGCAUUGUGAGAAUGUUGGCUAACCCCAGUGAGACAAGAUUCAGGGAACCAGGAUAAUGUCCAGAAUGAUGUCUUAUUGCAAAAUGCCUCUGAAUUUAGUAGUCAGGUUUAUCCACACAAGGGAGGGCCAAAUCUAAAAAUAGAUUCCUGUUCUACUAAUUCAUAGGAAGAAGAACUCCUAGUGCAAAUUCAAAGUUCUGAAUUUUUAUUGCUUCCCUACAAGGAAGAAACAUCAACUGUUGUAGAGAUCACAACAGGAUAAGUUGGGCCUUCAAUAGUUUCAGGCUCCAAUGAAGAGUUAUUGGAUUUUGAUAGCUGGUUUAUAAGGCUUCUCAUUCAUAUGACCACCCCGGGGUACCUCUGAUCAGUCCUCGCCCAUCAUCAGUUUCAGUAUACCGAUGAUCUCGCAGUAUUCAUCACUCCGGCUCCGUUGGGAUUUUAGAGAAGGCAUGCAACUGGUGUUCAAGGUGCACCAAGUUCAGAAUCCCACUCUGCAUGGCCUACAUGGCCGUCUUUGGGCCUUAUGUUCUUCUGUCAUUACUUCAUCUUUGUUUUCAAAAUAACUUCCUAAGCUCCAUCUUGCCUAUGAUCUUCCAAAUUUAAUUCUCCCAAAUAAUUUCCAUUCCUCCUUUUUCAUCCUUAUCAUUUUUCUUAGGCUUCAAAAACCCGAUUUUCAAUAAAACUUGGCCACCAUUUCCUUUCCGGCGAGCCACAUUUGAAUUUUCCGUGAUUUUUAUAAAAUGUUUUAAAAUAAGUGUGAAUUUAUUUUCGCAAUUCCAAGUGAUGGAAUUUGCGAAAUUAAUUCACUCAAAAUAAAAUGGGCUUUGGUGGGGGCCCGACAUCCAAUUAAUUUCCUUUAGAAUAAAAAUGGAAUUGAAAUAAUGUCACGCAUGAUAUUGGUGCUUCUUUAUCUGGUUAGGUGAUAUGAGUGACAUACUUUAUGUUCAUUACUAUGCACUAACCCCAUUUUGUCAUAGCGCGUUGCCGUUUGCUGAUCAGGUACGCAUUCACUUCCACUUUGGUUAUUCUCUAUGUAUAUUCUGAUACUCAUAUGUGCAUGAUCGAUUCGAGUAUUCCUUGAUUUUCUCAUUGAUUGUCAUGUUAGCUUCAUUUUAUUAGUAGAGACCCGACUUUAGGGACUUAAAGGAGUGCUACGGUCUUUACCGUACCUUCCCGAUAAGUAACCUGACCUCCGAACCCGAUCCGGUUUUUCACAGACCGUCUUUUUCAAAAUAAGGAGUCACACUUAGGGUUUUUCUUUCUUAUUUUGUUUACCCUUUAAAAAUAAAACAAAAAUAAGUGGCGACUCCAAGUCAUUUUCUUAACAAAUAAAAAUCAUUCUUCAAAUUAAAUAAAAAUCGAGCUCACCAUUGAAUGGGAAAUGCAUGAGCACGAAAUGCGGGGUCCACACUUAUCAAAUUAAUUUUAAUUUAUAAAAUAUUAAAACUUUAUUAUUAUCAUUAUUAUUUAUAUUUUAGUUUUUUAAAAUAAAUUUAUAUUUUUAAUAUUUUAUAUUAAAAACAUUCAAAAUUAAAAGGAUAAAUAUAAAAAAUUUAAAAGUGAAGUCAUAGUAAUUUUUUAGAAUAGAAUUAAUGAGAUAGAUUAUGAUACAUUUAAUAUUAAAACUAUAAUUUAUGUAAUUCAAAUAUAUUUAAUAAUAUGAAAUAAAUGAUAAUACAUAUAUGAUUUUUUUAAUAUUUAUAUUUUUUAUAUUUAAUUAUCAUAUAAAUAAUAUAAAAAAGACUUAUUAAAAAAAUUAUAAUAUUAAUUUUUAUAUUUUUAUUAAUCAAUUGAAUAUAAUUUAAAAUAAAAUAAUUAAAAUUAAGUUUUUUUUUAAUGAUGAACUUGAAUAUAUAUUAUCAAAGAGCAUCAUAGUUCAGUGGUAGCCGGGAUUGAAGCAAAGUCAAGGUUCAAAUCUCCCAUAAAAGUAAAUAAUCGAUAUUUCAAACAUUAAUCAAAAUAAAGAUAGAGAAUUAAUAAUUAUUUAUAUGGAGAGAGGAAAAUUGUUCUCAGGGCCACCCACUUCUCUCACUCGGGCAUCAAGAAGCUCUCUCCUGAAGUUGCCCUCCAGACGGGAGAAUCCAAAGGCCCUAUUUUCCUCUGCCACUCUCAAUCCUCGCAGGUACUAAUCUAUUCAUGUUAUUAUUAUUAUUAUUAUUUUUCUGCAAGCCCCGUUUGAUCCCCAAGAAAAUCCAUCCCCCAUUCGAUUUCCGGGAAAAUUCAUCCUCGUUUGAUUUCCGAGAAAAUCCAUGCAAAACCCCCAAAGAAAACCAAAAAAUUUGCUUUUUCUUUGCUCCCUGUGUUUUCUGGAUCUGUUCUAGGGGUCUCUUUGCUUUUGUGCCAUUGGAUUUAAAAAUUUCACGAACCCUAAAUCCACGAUUUUUGAGCCAGGCUGAAAAACACAACCUUUGCCUGCAAAUCCACGAUUUAAGAGUUAUAUUUAGUAUUUUUGCAGUCAAUGAAUGUGCCGCCACAUGUUUGAAUCAAAAAAAAAAAUUAACUUCUGCUAAAAUUCAUCAAAUAUUGGAACUUCAAAAACCAACAACUUGUUUUUGCCAAAGCAAAGGAUUGAAUAUUUCCUUGGUGGAUUUUUGGGAACGGAUCAUGCACCCACAAGAAAUCUCCAUCAAGCUUGAAGUUUUCUUAUUCGAAGGUUGAUCCUUAGUGCAUGGGGUCAUUCAAUAAGGUUAAUAAAUUGUCUGGAGGGAGCAGUAAAUGAUAACAUAUAGCCGUGUGCUUGGAAAUAUUCGAAGUCUUCCCAAUGGGGAAGACUCUAGGAUCCAAUACAAUCCUGGUUUUCUUGAUUUAUAUCUAAUGCUUGUGAUCGUAUUAUUUGUGGCAUUGACGCCUGAAGUCUUUUGGAAGUAUACUUGGAUGUGGCAUUCAUCAGUAGUUAAAAUCAUUGUUUUCAGGGCUCCUACGCCAAGCUUCCAAGCAACAUCAAGGUGAAGAGAAAGAGCAUGAACCCAGAUCUAGCUGGAGGGAUGGCAGACAGGGCUGUGUCGUUUCUUCUUCAAAAACUUGGAAGCUUUUGCAAGUAGAGAAUGGAACUUGCAGGAGAAUAUCAGGAAUGGAGUCCGUGAGUUACAAAGGGAGCUGUGGAGAAUAGAAGCCAUGAUGAGAGAUGCUGAUGCAAGGAAAGAUAUGAUAACCGAUUCAACGUGUGGAUUCAAGAAGUUCGCACAGAAGCUUAUGCCAUUGAGGAUGUUCUUGACCUGUUCAGACUCCACUGGGAUCAAGAAUCAGUGUGGCGCCACUUGAAAAUGUGGCACUCCAUUAGCAACCUGAUACAGGAUAUUAACACAAGGCUCGCGAUCAUUAGUGCGGAAACCAACACAUACCUUAAUGUGAGAGUAGUUCCUUUGAUCCCUGGCAGGGGCAACAACACUGUGGGCAUUGACAAGCCUAAAAGGAAGCUGGUUUCUUGGGCAUUGGAGUCGAAUCAGAAACUCAAGGUUAUGUUCAUGGUGGGAAUGGCUGGCUUGGGAAAGACAACGCUUGGCCACAGCGUGUACGAGGAGGUGAAGAUGUGUGGGAAUCCAUUAGACUUGCCUUGCCAGAUGGUAACGACAAUAGAAUAAUUAUCACUACAAGAAGAGGCGAUAUAUCUAAUUCUUUCAGAGAUGAUGAUUCUAUUGAUAUCCACAAGGUUCAGCCUCUGUCACCGCAUUGGGCUGAGCAACUCUUCUAUAAGAAAGCUUUCUCAGGAGUUGACUGAUGUCCUUCAGGUUUGGAGGAAGUCUCCAAAUCCAUCUUACAGAAAUGUGAUGAUUACCACCUGAGAUUAUUGAAAUCGGUAGGGUCUUGCGGAGUAAGCCUCGUCAAACAAAAUAUGAGUGGAAAAAAUUACAUGAUAGCCUUGAGUCUGAAUUGAGAAGCGGUGGUGCCCUUUCAGAUAUUAUGAGAGUGUUUUCUGCAAGUUACAAGGAUUUACCUUACCAUCUCAAGUAUUGCUUCUUAUAUAUGAGUAUUUUUCCUGAGAAUAAUCCAGUUAAGCAAAGAAGACUGAUUUGGCUAUGGAUAGCUGAGGGAUUUGUAACAGAGGAGAGAGGCAAGACUCUUGAAAGGUGGGGGAAGAGUACCUGAAUGAGCUUAUUGGCAAGAGUCUGAUAAAGGCAAAUGAAAUGGACUUUGAUGAAAGGCCAAUAACUGUUGGAGUCCAUAGUCUCAUGCGUAGGAUAAUUCACUAGAGGAGAACUUCUGAACUGUUUGUGCAGGACCAGAAGGAAAGUUGGCUGACAAACCCCCACGCCUAUACAUCCAGAAGAGAAACUUUGAUGUGUCUCAGGACUUAACCUGUGUUCAAACUUUUUUCAGUUUCAGUACAGGUAGGGUAAACAUUGGUUCGAAUUUCAAACUAUUGAAGGUUUUGGACAUACAAAGCACUCCUUUGGGAAACUUUCCAAGUGCCAUUACAGAUCUUGUGCUCUUGAGGUACUUGAGUUUGAGGAAUACAAAUAUAAGGAGCAUCCUCAAAUCUCUCAGGAACCUACGGGAC